rnacentral:lncRNA from 1 species
UAAUAUGAUGUGCAAGAUGCAAAAUGGGCGUGUGGUUGUUUUCUCUAUGUUUCUAAAUGUUGGAUCUGUGUUAGUUAUUGCUAAAACCCUAACUUAUGUGGCAGUUAGGGUCCCUUUUCUAGGGCUUAUAAAAGGGCUCUGGCUUCUCAAACCCUACCAAACGGGGUAAAAAAAAAGCUUCUCUUCUGAAUCCACUAAGGAGCUGGAGCCAAAAAUACUUUCUGAAGCCGUUUUGUCAAAUAUUUUUGACAAAGUGCUUUGGCUCUACCAGAGAAGCUACACCACAAGAGGAGCUAAAUCUGAAACGAGUAUAGGAGGACCUGGAGCUCUACCAGACUGGCCCUUAGUAUUCCCAGCUGGCAUUUGCCUUGUAACAUGCAGAGGACAGCUUAGAAUUCAGUCAUGCAACUUGCCAAAUUUGUUGUAUGAAAAAGAAAACCUUGCCAAGUUUGAGUCAGAAGUGAUAUGCGAUGCACUGUUAUUAGAUGGCCAUCAUGCUCUGGCUGAUCACAAGCAGACAGACACCUCCACUUAAAAAUUGCCUGUGUCUGGCGAUAUCGUUGUUUGCUUGAUAACCAUGGUUUUCAAGGCAUCGCCUAGGCGUAUAGGCACUUAAAAAUUGACGGGCAUCCCUGUUGCCUAACUAAAAGUCAGCAAAAGACGGGGAGCAAGGGGGAGGAAAGGAACGGAAACCAACCAACAAGACCCAGCAGCUGCCGCUGCUGUCAUUCCUGAUAGCUCCGGUGCCGGUGGUCAGCCAGCAACUUGCUCUUGUCAACUGAGGCACGAUAGACCUAGACCUGAGCGGAAGCUCAGUUGAUCGGAGAGCGCGCAGCUCACGAGUGCCCAAGAAGCAGUGGGGAGGAGGAGCGGAGGAGAUGCAGGCAGCAAACGGAGAUGGGAAACGAGCGGCGAUGCUGAGAGAAGACGAGUGGCGGCGGUGAAUGAAUCAGGGAGGGAGAGCAACCCUAUAGGCAAGUCAGGGGAUGGUUAUAUAGGGUGGCUAGUGGGCUGGGCCAGCUCCUCACGUCUCCUGCCCCUUCUCUUUUUUCUUUUCCUUUUCUUCCUCCAUGCUGCUCUCUUGCUGUUUCUCAGAUUGGUACAUGUCGCCUUGUGAAUGCCUAGGCAUUGCUUAGGCGAUUAGAAGGUGGUCUAUCACCAUGCCUCGCCUUAUCACCUUGAGAACAAUGUUGUGUGUAUUCGAAGUGUUCAUUAGAGAUGCAGAAAAAGAAAACAUAACCAUCUGUUGCAAAACCUAACCAGUCUUAUUACGGAAAGUUCGCUUGCAUUUUAAGUAGAUUCCUGCUGGUCGUGUUGUUAGAUCAGCUCCAAGAGUGAUCAUAAAUUUGGACCCCUAUUUUCUCGUGUAGACUAAACAUUUUUCCCUUCUAAAUCUUUCACUUCAAUAGCAGUUCCCCUAUAUCUAAACCCCCUAAAUUUUCAACACGCCACAUAAGCAAUAUGGACCUACGAUUUUCAUUAAUCUUGCUUCCCUCUAGCAUCGAUCACUGGAUGCGAUCAUCUAGAUGCGGGAAGGAACAGCCAGCAGAACAGAAGUGGUGUAGGGCGGACAGGCAGUGCUGGAUGGAAGGCAUGUGCAGGGCGGGCUGCGCUUGGUGGCUUAUGUGAGAGGGCUACACAGUGACGAUUUUCUACAAUAGAGGAUGCUGGGAUUUGGCGGGUAGGAGCCUUGUCUGGGUAAAAACGGUGUGAAAACCCAAACACAGGGAGGCUGACUACCCUAUAUUUGAGGGUAGGAUAGGUUAUUUAGGAUGCAACUAAACAUAGGAGUUGAUUUAGGGUGGCUGUUGAAUGGUUAUCCUUAAAUUUAAGUUUAGGAGUUUGGAUAGGGGUACAGGGUACACUUGGAGAUGCUCUUAGUCAUUGUAUUUUGAUAUUUUUCUUAUUGGACUGGAUACAUAACUUAAGCCUCAGUUGGCAUCUCUAUAUGUGAUUUAUUUGCUGCAUCAAUGCUUCUUUUUCUUCUUUAAAACAUAGACAAGCUUUCCAUUUCAAAAUUUCUGCAUCAAUGUACUGUUUGAGGCACCACUAAGGCACUAACCAAGUUGAUUAUUCUGUUUCCAGCCAUAGCGACAGUUGUGACCGUGGCAGAAAUUCUGAAGAACAAUGGAUUUGCUGUUGAAAAGAGUGAGACCUUGGCCCUCCUUGUCUUGUACACAGAUUAUGCCUCAUCUAUAUUAGGGCUCACAUGAUUCAUAUAUUUGCCAUUCUGAAUCUUCCUUCUGUGUCUUCACCUACAUAGAGAUUAGGACAUCUACUGUUGAAAUAAACGACGAAUCAAGAGGGCGUCCAUUCCAAAAGGCCAAGGUCAGAGAAGACUAUACCCUUAAUUCAGUACUUACUAUUGAGAGUUGUUUGUUGUGUUUGUCAAUUUGGUCAUUCUAUCUUCAACCAUAUGUAAUUCUUCUUUUCCUGAGAGUUGAACUGACAUAAACCUCAACUCUGUCAGAUUGAGAUAAUCUUGGGAAAGAGUGAUAAAUUUGAUGAGUUGAUGGCCGCUGCUGCGGAAGAGAGGGGAGAAGUGGAAGAUGGUGAAGAGCAGGCUUGAAAACAGUACCGACGACAAGCGACUUUUGUUGUGCUCUGUUAAUGUUGUUUAAUUUAAUACCGUGUGCAUGACUCAUGAGAGAUGGCAUGCGUUCUUGCUCAACUACAUCACCAUGGCAGUGUCUGCAAAUUCAUGGAUUGAUGGAUGGAUGUUGGUUGUUUGUUAACAUUUUGGACAUCUAGUUCAUUUGUUUCUUUGGCUAUGUAUGUUUUCCCAGUCCAACGUUCUCCUUACAAAAUAUCUUCAUUCUGCAAAGACUGAAGAUUUAUGCAUAUAUUGGGAUCAUUUGUCUAAAUCCCUCGUGUGAUGCCAAAAAGAAAAAGGUCAAUUUAGGACCCCAAAGAAUUCCAGACGGAACUGCUCAAAUUCUCAUGUUCCACGGAUCUUUUCUGCGCCAAUUUUGAGCUGCUUGGGACUUGUGUGCGCCACGUCGAAGCCCAAUGCGCCCCAGUUCGUGUGGUGCUCGUGAUCACCACCAGUUCACUUCACCCCCUCCCCUCUCCGGGAGUCUAGACACCUGUAGCCCUGUAGGCUAGCGCAUUUUUCUGAACCUCGGCGCUUCGCAGCCGAGUGGAGGCGAGGACGAUGGCAGUCGCCGGGCAGUGCUCCUCCUGCUACUAUACGUCACCCACCCUGCAGCUGCAGCUCCAGCUCCACCGACGGCACGGCCACCUGCCGCAGCAGCCCCAAGCCGCACGAAGAGCGCGGUGGCCGAGGUUGCAGGUGGCCGCAGCUGCCGGCGGCGGGUCCAUCAAGGCGGCCACGGACGCCGAGUUCUUCCAGCCUUCCGACACCAGGCCCAUCAUGCUCUUCGACGGUACCCACCCAAGACCUUGCUCCCUUCCCCCUCGCGUCUUCGGAAAUCUCCUAAUCUGCCAACUGCCGUGCUCUCUGUAUGCAGGCGUCUGCAACCUCUGCAACGGGGGCGUCCGGUUCGUGCGGGAGCACGACCCCAACAGGUAUACUCGCCCUGCUCAAUUCUCACUUUCUCAGUCACGGCAACAGCAAUUCAGUCGCUGAUAGGUUCUUGUGAUGUGUUUGCGAUUCCAACGAACAGGAGCAUCAGGUACAUACCGCUGCAGAGCGAGUCCGGGAGGAAGCUCCUGCAGAGGUCAGGGAGGUCCCCUGACGACAUCUCCAGUGUUGUUCUCGUCGAGAAAGACAGGUGGCCAACCAUAAGCUUCCUCCAAGAGUUGUAGAUUCCUACUGAUUGCUAGUUUAUGUAUGAUGAUGAAAUGUUAAUCUUAUCGUGAUUUUUGCAGGUCAUUCAUCAAGUCUGAAGCAGUGCUGAGGAUAAUGGAGUACCUCAACCUGCCCUUCCCGCAGCUCGCCAUCUUCCUCAACUUUAUCCCUCUGUAAGCUCCCUCCUCUGCUGUUCAGCUUAAUUUGUGCAUUUUAUGUUUCGCGCUACAAAUUAAUCAAUUCUACAACAAAAAUGUGAUUCCUUCCUACUGAUUCUGUUGCAAUAACUAGGUUCUUGAGGGACUUCGCCUACGAUAAUGUCGCAAACAACAGGUACGCCAUGUUUGGCCGCUCCGAAACAGAAGCAUGUGAGAUACUGUAACUGCUGCCCUGAGAUCUCCAUACUUAGCUUAUAUGAUUAGAUAUCAAUAAUUUGCAUACACGAUGUAACAUGAACAUCUAUGGUUGCGUAGUUUUAGUCAUCUAAACACACCAAAAAAAAUUCCUAUAAUCCUUGUAAGUGAUGGAAAUGAAGAGCAUACUAGCUACAAACUCUCUGAAAACUGUAUUGUUGGUAUCACCAUGCCCUCAGUUGUUCCAUGUGCAUUCAGAAUAGUAGCAUUUGUUGGGGUAGUAUGGUUCACCCAAGAAAGGUUAACGUUACUGAGAUAGAUGCCAUGACAAUGAACACUUUGGCUGCAUAAUAAUUUGAUGGCUUCUUGCUCGGAUGAUGUCCCUUGGAUGUCAAUAAAUUUUGCAUCACUUAUUGCCACGCCUCCAGGCUACAAAGACAGUAAAGUGCAGAUACAUUUCAACCUUUGUUUUAGUCUUUUAGACAACAAAUCUGAGUGAUAAGCAUGGCAAUGUUUUUAGUAUGACUCACCUUUGUAGGACAAUUUCCUUGCGGGCAGUAGAACUGGUCGAUGACAAUAGGAUACUGAACUUCUGUCAUGUUGAGGCUCGCAAAAAGGAAUCCUUUUGCAUAUCCCUUCCCUCCCUGCAUGCAUAGCUUCAUACAUUAGAGGGCAUAGCUUUGGCAUGGCCUAUGGUUUGCAGCGGGCGUAUCCACAGAGUGUAUGCAAUGCAGCCUCAUUACAAGUUUAUUAACAUUGAGUCUUAAUUACCUGCCAGGAUUUUAUCCUUACACCAUUCAUAGUUCCAACAAAGCUGCAAUUAGUUAUUACAAUUUGUUCCACCUUCGCUCUCUCUGAUUUUCCGAGGCUUCCCACACUACAUAAGAUCAGAAGUUGAGCUCAGUACAUAUAUUACUAGAGAAUAAGAUGUUCAGUAAUUAGUAGAUGCUCUACUAGUGUAUACGCAUUCUUACCUGAUACCAUGACCAGGCCCGCAUGUGCUGUGAGUAACGGUAAUAUUUUUUGUGUGUGAUAGGAUUGAUACACAGUCAUCACCUGCGUUUUCCAAAUGUCGCACAUUAUUCAUUUGUUUGAGUGUUUAUUAUCAGUUCAGUUACAUAUAUUGCAAUGGUGUACUUGUACACAAAGAAAGUGUUUCUUUACCGCUUUGGAUAGAACAGUUGGAGAUGGUGGUGCUGUUCGAUGAUGCCACAGUAAUGCCGUCUGUAUUAGGGCUAUCAGCUGGCGCAGUGAUGGAGACACCGUCAAUGAGCGCCUGGUUGCACUGGAACAAGGUCAUGUGCUUGUCUGCACUAUUCUUCAGCCGUAUAUUUCUGACCCAUAGAUCAUUGCACAAGGAGAAGGCCAGCAACUGAUUCACAUGAACACAACAUGAGUACCACACUUACAUUUGUCUGCCUGACUAGCUAGUUUGAGACUGAAUUAAAGGGUAAAAUUGUGUCUACUUACAAUAGGCCGGGUGUGGCAUCUCUGUGAAAAUGAGGAACAAAUCAUAUUAUACUUAAGGAUCAGAGAAAAAAAAAUGCAAGUCUUAUAUGAUGAAGCAGAAGCCUACCUUGUUGUUAUAGCAAUCCCACCAGAUGGCACCCCGGCCAUCGAUCUCGCCCUUCCCAUCCAAGGUCAAGUUGUCGACGCCAUGGAUGGUCAGGAGGUUGGUUUGUUCAGUAGUCCAAAUGUGGUUUGGUGCUACAAUAUUGCCGUCCAGCUGCAGAUUACAAGUUAAGCUAGCUGCUGUGCUUCUUGUUUGCUGUUUGCAAAACAUAUGGAUGCAGCCUGAUCCAGCAGACCAGCACUGUGGACCAGACCAAUACGCUAGAAAAUAUAUAUGUAAAUGCAAAGAAAAAACGACGCCACUGAUCCAGCAGGCCAGCACUGUGUUGUUUCGCAUGCCUCGCGAAUUUGCGAGUCAGGAUUCAAAGGGCAGCACCGCUUACCCUAGCCGCUCAAUCACCGAAUCGUUGUAAUGCUGUCUUGUCGAAACUUCAAACAAAAUCGACAUACGUCUGCAUGCAAAUGGCCUGACGCCAAGACCAAAAGAUUUAGGUCUUGUUUAGUUAUCCUUGCUAAAUUUUAUCAAGCUAAAAUUAUUUUAGCUACUCUUGAGUGACUAGUAGGACUAAACUAUUUUAGCUCUUUUAAAUCACUGUGUUUGGAAGUUUAACUACUAAAAUAACUAAAGUUUAGGUAGCUAAAAUUUAGCAAGGGGACCAAACAGAUCAUCUUCUUUUUCUAAAAGAAAAAGACUUACACCUGACGCCAAGGCCAAGUAUUUAAUUUUCUUUUUCCUAAAAAAACUUGCGUACUUGAACUAAAUAUCGUUUUUAGUUAUUAUUUUUGCGUAUCAAGAGACCAGCGAGAUCGUUGGAUCAGAGAAUUUGCUUGAAGUGGACGAUGAUAGAUAAUAGUGCUAUAAAAAAACUUACCUAUGAGCAGAUAAGUAGUACCACGUUGGAAAUAUUUAUAUUACAUUUUGUAGAAGUUCCUAACAUGAUAUUCAAAUUCAGGACUUAUUAUGCUUUUUAUUAGUGUAUGUAUAAUCAACUAUGUUGCAAAUUUAAACAUAUUUACCGAAUUGGUAUAUGGCUCACUAAAUUGCAAAUGAAAUUUUUUUUAUGCGGCAUACCAUCACAUAAAAUCCUAGAUCCGGCAGGGUGGCAAUCUUAAUUGGGAUGGUUGUUACCUGUAUGGUGAUUGGUGACUUGCACGGGCCCUGAAAUGUGACCUCACUCAACAAGAACGUCCUUCUUCCUGGGAUGACCAUGAUUGGCCUGGCCUGAUCGCUGCACGCCGCUUGCCAUGUCGCCAAGAAAGCCUUUUGGCAGCAAAGAUAGAGAAGGAAAUCAGAAAUACAAGAAGCAAUGCAAAUUUUGGCGUUAUUGCGACCUUCAAAAAAAAAAUUUUGGCGUUGUGCUGCUGCUACCUGUGAAUCAUCUGUCUUGCCAUCCGCAGCCGCAUGGAACCUGACGACGUUGUAUUUCUGUUGGUGGCACUGUGCCGAACGAAUGGCCCAUACAAGUACAAGCAACAUGAUGAAGGCAUGCCUUACUGCAGUCCUUUUCAAGGCGAGGAUCUAUCAGGAGGAAAGAACGAAAGAAAAAAAAUCAUAAAUAAAUAAAUAAAAACAUCGAGCUGAUAGACUAUGGCAGAACGACACUCGCCAUGGUUAAGUUGAGGUGCCACUGACGCAAGAAGUGAAGGAAUGCACGCAAUGGUGAGAGCCUAUUCCAAUUCAUCAGAGUAUAUAGCACAACUACGAUUGCAUUUACAAGGAAUGUGUUUAAUACUCUGGUAUCCAACAAAAGAAGGCAACUAAUUAGGCUAAUUAGACCGAGCUUACCAUGUGAAAUCGUUGUUGGAUUGGCAACAGUGUCAUGGACCCAAUGUGAUAGAUACUCCAACACUUUCCCUUAUAAAAAUACUCCAACACCCUCAUCACAUCACAUCACAUAGUAACAAAUCACUUGGUUAUGAUGAUGCUGCCCUAAUGAGAGGUGAACGAAAAUGCAGAUUAGAUUGGUUUUAUUUGUUGCUAUAUAUAUAAGUGCUAUAUAGAAAAUCCGAUCAGGAGUUCAGGACUCUUACAAUCACAUCAGGAGUUCGGUACUUUUUUUUGUAUAACAAUAACAAAUAAACGAAAAAAAGGAAACUACUAGUAGCAACGACGCAAAUGAAUAAUUAUCACAAACAAACGCGCCGUGGUGCCCCAGCAAUCAUCGCCAUCACAAUUCACACCGCCACGAGUGGCGCCGCUGUGCUCCCGCGCCCACCGCCACCGCAUGGAGAGGGCAAAUAAACCCGUGAACCCGGCCGGCGGCGUCCGUCCGUCACAGCGCCUGCGCCGCGGCACCAGGCUCGGACGAGGUGCCCGCUCCGGCUCCGGCGCCGGCGGCGACGCAGCGGUCGAAGCCGUACCAGACGCCGUCGGGGAGCGGGUCGCCGUAGUAGAAGGUGGAGGGCGUGGCCGACGUCGCGGGCUCGUACACCCUGACCCACUCGGGCGUCCACCCGGCGCGGCCCGACCGGCGGAGGUAGAGGUAGCAGACGCCGUAGCCGCAGGGGCCGGACACCCGGAACGUGUCCGUGGCGCAGCGCUCGAAGCCGUACCGCGGCGUCAGCCGCGCCGCGUAUACCUCGUUGCGGUACGCGUCACCGAACGCGAGGCUCACCGCGUCCGCGGAGCUCCGCGGGGACGAGCAGCUCGUCUUGAUCUGCACCGUGUACGUGCACGCGCGCCGCGCCACGGCGGCGGCGGCAUCGUCGGGCUCGGACGCCUCGCCUGCCGCCGCCGUAGCUGCUUCCCGCGGGAGCGGAUGGGACGAGGCGGGGAGGGAGAGGUAGAGGACGGCGAGCGCCAGCAAGGCGACGCGCUGCGGUGGUACGGUGCUGGAGGCCAUGGGCAGUUGACCGAAUUGCGAGCGAGGCCGGACUGGGCAAGCGGAGAGGGAGACGGAGAGAAAGAUGGUGGUUGGUUGCUCACUACUUGCUCUUGCUCCAGAUUUUCAACUCUCCAAGUGAGCAGCAGCUCAAGCCUCAAGGUGAGCAGCGUGGAGAUGCCAUGUCACCCGAUCUCAUGCUCUUUUUUGGGCCUUGUUUAGUUCACUCUGAAAACCAAAAAAUUUUCAAGAUUUCCUGUUACAUCAAAUUUUGUGGCACAUGCAUGAAACAUUAAAUAUAGACGAAAACAAAAACUAAUUACACAGUUUAGCUGUAAAUCACGAGACGAAUCUUUUAAUUCUAGUUAGUCCAUGAUUGGAUAAUAUUUGUCACAAACAAACGAAAGUGCUACAGUAUCGAAAACUUUUCACUUUUCGGAACUAAACAAGGCCCUGAUCUGAUCUGCCGGAGUAGUAGUAAAAACUUAUUUAGCUGGCCCACCAGUCCGUGUCAAGACCACCAACUGCAUUGAUUAUUUGUGAUGCCUUGCCAUGCCAAUUUGCACAAGUGGUUCUCCAUGAUCCACGAGUUUCAGAGUCGUUUUCUUCAUCGUGCAUCAGUGGCAGUACGCCAGUGCCAUUACAGGACGAUGACGCUGCCACAUUGGGCAGGCCAGUGCCAGAGUCUCCACGAGAUUCUCGUGGUAUAUAUAGAUUAUAAUAACACGAAAAAACAAAAUGAAAAUUCGAGAGUCUUGUGGGACGGUGGGAGCUUAAAAAUUUAUAAGAACAAAAAACAAAACGAAAUAUAAAAAUUAAGGGGCAUUCCGAGAAUUGAACUCGGGACCUCUCGCACCCUAAGCGAGAAUCAUACCACUAGACCAAAUGCCCUUUGAUGUUUAAGAGUUUCAUGACAUACAAAAUAUGUUCGAUCUAAUAUGUCAUUUUCUUUUUCCACUCAUUACAUUACACAUUGCUGUCGGCUCCAUUGACCAACCAAAGGAGGAGCCUCUCGCUCGCUGAUCAGUUGACCCUGGAGCACCUCCUCCUGAUCUCGCCCUGCCCGCCGGUCUUCACCCCGAUGCUGCUCAUCCUCACCAUGGCCUUGGGGAGCUCGUACCCGAACCUGAGGCCGAAGAGUCCCCGAACAUUGCCGGCGUACUUCUGCACCACGCCCUGCGUGGCGGCGUCGCUCCACAGCCGCUGGUCCGACUCCAGGACCGCGCCGCCGUCGCGGACGUUCUUGAAGAAGCUCACGUCGAACGCGCCAGGGCUACCCUGGUCCAGCGCCACCCGCCGCCCGGCCGGGUCGCCGCCGCUGGGCGGUGGGCACAGCGCCCGGAGCUGCGCCAGCGACGCCUGGCUGAUGGUCGGGUCCGCGUUGCCCGUCGCCGUGAAGUUGUACAGCCGGUAGCUGAAGAACUGGCAAUCGGUCUGCCCGAUCGUGUGAGCGCCUACCAAUGUGACGAGGUCGUGGUCUGUCAGUCCCUGGUCCGCGAACUUCUUCCUCUGAACGGAUACAGGAUCGGCAGGCGAUGGCAAGGCGUUGGCGCCAGAAGCUGACGAGAGUCUCCCGUCUCUUCUCCCCAGCGGCACUGACCAGCUUGGCCCACCAGUCUUUUACAUUACAUUUACGGAUUUGUUUACCCCAAGAAAAGACAGAAGAACAGUAAAUUCAUCAUCAGUUCUCAGUAAUAAAACAGUUAAAACAAACAUGACAUGACCUCAAUCAGAAUGUAAAAGACUCUGCUCUCGCUGAGUUAACAUGGACUGACUCUCACCAGAUCAACAGCGUCACGCGCGGCGAGAGCAAGGAUAUCAGCGCAUGACACCACCCCAGGGCACACGGCUUCUAGCUGGGACUUGGCGUCAUCUAUCACCUCAAACCCCCUGAGCCCAAAAUUCUGUGGUGCACUCCUUUCUGAAGAUGAUCCAGAGAUCAAGACUGAUGCGUCGCACCCCUGCAAUGCAAAAGCCAGCAAAACAACUGUCAUACUCAACUCAAACUAUGCAGCCUGUAAAUUUGUUCAGGCUAGUUUAUAUAUGCAGCUUGAGACUUGAGUAAGAGUGACAGUGUAUUUGCAUCACCACAGGAUGAUGAAACACAAAGUGGUAGCUUAAAGAAGAGAUGUAUAACUAGCCUGAACAAAGCAGUCAUGGAAGUGUAGCCUGAGCAAGCCUGGGGCGAUGGUGGCAUCCCUGUCGUAGUACUGCUCGACAGUCGACCUCACGAUAUCCUCGGCGUCAGGACAGUAGGAGUCGUAGAACCCGAUCUGCAGUCCUUGACUACGAACAGAGGAACUUCUCAGCAGUAUAACAGUGAACGAAAGCAGGAGAAGAGCUGCCAUUUCUGGUGCUGCCAUGGUCUGAGUAUGUCUGACCAGUCCUUAGUUAUCGUUAACAGCUCUAAUUGUGGUGUGGCACGCAGCACUGUGAUCUGAUUGCUCGUUAUAUAGUGUCACUGAGCUUGUUCUGCCCUCUAUCCUCCAAUCACUAGAGCCAUUCCAUGAUCGUAGUGGAGUAGCUAGUGGAUCAUGCACUACUGGAAGAUGUGGUUUCCAGGUAGUAUGUAUAUAUGUAUGUAUGUAUGGAGACCUGCAUAUUUUAUGGCUCCCUCUCUUAUCGUCAAAUCGUGCGAGAACUAACUGCAUUGUCAGCUGCAUGUGCCAAUUUCUUUCGCUGAAGCAGCACUAAAUUUGGGAGAAUUCAUUGCAAUAUUUCAGAUUAGUUUUUCACUUUUGUUAAAGGUCACGUGCCUGAAAUUUAGGCUUACGUCAGGCGACGUGCUGACCGUGUGAAUCUGAACAGGUUAGCACAGCCGCACGUUUUUAAAGUCCACUUCUCCUUAAUCUCAAAAAAAAAAAGUCCACUUCUCCUUAAUCUCAAAAAAAAAAAAGUCCACUUCUCCUAUAUUAAAAAUUGUUAUUAUAAUUGUAUUUGUAGUUUUGUCUAACGGACUUGUAUUUUUAUCUAAUGAUGACAAAUCCUAUCUAUCAAUCGUCUGAUUUGUUAAAAUUGUAUUUGUAUUCUUGUGAUUUGUUUCUAAUUUAUUAGUUGUGUUAACAUAUAUCAAAAUUUUGCAUUUGUUUGACUAUAAAAAUAUUUAUAAAUUACUAAUUGUCUUUGUGCAACAUAUAUUAGAUUUUGUUGGGUCUGUGAUUUUAUCUAACGUUUUUUUAUAUUUUUUAAUUCAAAAAUUACAAAUUAUACCUAUAGAAAUUGCAAUGAACUAAAACUACAAUUUUCACAUAAAUACGUAUGCGGUGUUAGCAAGUCAAUAUGCGAUUUGUUACAGUGUUACAGUGUUCCAUCGUAGCCUUGGAGAAGAGGAUCUGUGGAUUCUGCAGAGAGUGUUUCAAAUUCGUAAGGGCAGGAACAGUAACAUAAAACUGGGAAAUUUCUGCUAUUACAAGCCGUGGAAAACAUGGGAACCGUAGCUGCUUUUUUUUUAGUGGAAUGGACUGUAGCUGCUGGACUCCCUGCUGGAAAUAUUCCUGGCGAGUGGGCUUGGCAUGCGUGGACUACUGGGCCUCCACCACAAUUGUCAUCUCGUGUUUCUAGCGGUGGCGCAUGAGGAGAUAGUUUUGCUUUAGUUGAGUUUAUCCUCGGAUAUCUAAUAUGGAUGCUCAUAAAUUAGCGAGAGGUUUCUUGUAUGAGGUAGUUGGUAGACAUAAUCAAUGGUGUGUGUAUUUCUUAUUCUCAAACUAGUUAUUAAGUUAAAAUUUUUGCAUGGCGAGCAUUUCAUGGUUGUAUUCCAUGCCAUGUGACCCUAGCGAAUAAGCAUAUCACGAAUAUUGUGAAUUGCCAGUGUGCCAGACGGAGGCGGAAGAUAUAAGACAUGUCUUGUCUUCUUGUAGCCGAUCAAGAGAGAUUUGGAGUUUCCUUGGGUAUCUGGCAGCAUAUUGAAAAACUAUUGAUGAUUGAUAGAUCGGGUUCAGCCCUCAUUCAUGAGAUUAUUAGGAACAGAGGCGAAAAAAGAGAGCUGAAGCUAGGUCAGGCUGAGCUUAUUCUCACUGGGUGCUAGUAUAUUUGGUGGCAAAUGAGACAACUAGUUCAUGGGGAACAAAUCCAAAAUCCACCAAGGUCGGCUUUGUCCAUUGCAGCGGUUACAACAAAUUAUUUUGUCACAUCGAAAAAGGAGGCUGUAAUUAAUCAAGGCUGGAGAAAACCCUCUGAGGGUAUUUGAUGAUCAACGUUGAUUGGGCAUUUGAUGAAACAAAAUGAUCAGGAAGCUCUGGUGCUAUUACCAGAGACAUUGGGGGCGCUUUUGUCGCUGCAUCACAUAGAUUUAUCCCUCAUUGCACCGUCGACGGAAGUUGCGGCUCUUAGGGAUGGUCUCCUAUUGGCCCAACAAAUUGGAUGUAAGUGUGUUGAGAUCCAAUCCGAUUGCAUGGAAGUAGUUCAAAUGAUGCAUGAUGGAGGCUUCUCGGCUAUGACUGCAGUGGCAUUAUAUGAUGAGAUCGUCCAGCUAUGGCAGAAAUUUGGCAAGAUAUCUAUUAGUCACCUUGUUUAGUUCACCCCCAAAACCAAAAAAUUUUCAAGAUUCCCCGUCAAAUUGAAUCUUGCAGCAUAUGCAUGGAGUAUUAAAUAUAGACGGAAACAAAAACUAAUUGCACAGUUUACCUAUAAAUCGUGAGAUGAAUCUUUUGAGCCUAGUUAGUCCAUAAUUUACUAAAUAAAAAUAAAAAUGCUACAAUAACCAAAACUAAAAAAAUUUAAAACUAAACAAGGCCUAAAGAUAGUGGACUAAUUAUUGGCUACAAGAGUGUGGCCCAAUCAACUUUAUGUCGUUGCCAAUUGCCAUAACAUGGAUGAGGCUACAAUCCAUUUGUUGGCGCUUUGGACCGAAGGCUGCUUCCCGGCCCAAAGGAUAUAUUGGGCGCAUUUUCAGCUGGCUGUCCCAAGUGUCCAACUGGUGGCGGAGUACCGUAGGAAAAGGUUCAGAGCGCUUGCAAGGGUCAUUCGAUUAAUUAUUCUGGUUGUUUGGAAACUUUGAAAGGAACACAACUCAUAAUUUGCCUGAAACCUUGGCCGCAGAAGUUGAGGAAGCGAGAACAUGGUGUCUUGAUCGAAGAAAUAAGCUCAAACAAAAGGCAUGUUUGAUACACAUAGCUAGGUACUAGUGGCAGCUAAAAAUUAGACAAAAUUAGUUAUGGUUGGCUAAUAACUAAUUUAAAAAAUGAGUAAAAAUAAAUCACCUCUUAGCCCUCCUGUUUAGACACACUUGAGCUAAUUUUUAGCUAGCUAAUAAUUAGCCCUUGUAUCAAACAUGCUUAAUCUAGUCAUUAGUAAAAUAGUUUUUUUAUAUAUAAAUUUUGCUCAGGGACACUGCUCAAAUGUUUAAUCUGCUGUUGGACGCCGCUAACAUGGAAAUAUGCUCAGUACACAUCGUCUCAGGCGCAUCUGAGAAAUAGAGAUAAGAAGAGACUUUGUAACUAAAUCUCCAGGAUUUUUUUACGACUUAGUUCUUAUUUGAAUGCUAUCGGAUCCACUUCAAUCCACAUUUGUUAACUUUUACUAUAAUCCACCACAGCACAUUUUAAUUGGUGCAAAUUUGACCACAUUCAUACAAGACCUUAGGAUAUAAUAGUCUCUCUGUUCUUUCUAAAGCUCGUAGGAAUAUAACUUUUGGGGGGGAUAAUACACGUGAUGUGAGAUUGUUCUUCAUGCAACCAAAAGUAACGCCUAUCGUCAAUUUGUCCGUCUCCUUUUCUUUUUCUUUAUGCAUAGUCCUGGGCUCCUGGCUCUGGCUCUGGCUCCAGCACCCCCGUCUCUGGUCCAGCUCAACUUUUAUCCACAGAGAAGAUCAACAACAGUUGGGCCGACGCCGACUGAAACUCAUUUGAAGGAUGACAUGAAACAGGUCCGGGCCCCGUCCCCCGAACACAGCAAUCAUACGAUGACAUUUCGCUGAUGCUCGCUCUCUACAGUCACAGGAGUAGGAGUAGAUAGCUAGUCCGUUGUCAGACUAGAGUCAAGCGUUGAACUCGCGUAGCACCGGGCCCUAGUUCAGCGAGACAUGUGUCAUGCAUCAGCUAAACACGCUGUAGCGUGAAGCCGUGAACCGUGGCGAAAGUGACGGUGGGUGAGGUGGCCGGGGCGGCCAGGGACGUCGUCUGGCCUCACCAUCACCCUGGGUGCGUGAUUGGAGCGAGCUCUGGUGAGGUGGAAUGCCGACUGCCGAGGAGCCCCGCCCGCUGGCGCGGCAAGCUCCCCCGGCACGCACGUGGCGGGGCCGAGAAGCGCGACGCGAUCCAUGUGUGCGACUGCGUCAGGGACGUCGGCAGAGUGCAAAAUCAACACUGGUCGGUCAGAGAACCCACCGCCCAGAGCCGCCACCGUCUUCGCCUUCUCGAGGCCGGGACCGAAGCGGAUUCAUCGAUUCCUUUCUGGUUCUAGAAUCGAGGAGGUCAAGCCCAGGGUAGCGUACUUGGGCCGGUUGCGUCGUGAGGUGGGACCGUAGGUGGUGCCUCGGUGGCUAUCGAACCCAACUCGGACUACCUGCCUAUAUACCAGCGAAGCGACCAGGAGAACGCUGUCAACCAAACAAAAAGGUUUUUUUUUUUACAAACUAAAUACGAAAGCUUUGGCUUGUCUUUUUUACGAAAAAUGCAAGGAUGCGAAUUGAUUAACCACGGGUUGCGCUCGUAGGAAGUCGGCACGUCGCAUCCGGAUUCCGGAGGACGGCGACAUACCGCGGUUUUCUGUUACGAUUGAUUGAUGACGACGGUUUUGCCGCGGGUUAAAUGGGCGGUAGUCACUGCCCACUGGGCAGGCCGCCUUGAGUAUCCUGUACCCACCACGUCCACUUCUAGGCCACUUCUCGUCUUCUCUCGUUUUAUUUUCUUUUAUUAUUUUAGUUUAGUUUAGUUAUACUCGAGACGAGGAGAUCCGUGGAACAGCGGAGACGACGCGUGCGUUGCGUGGGGGUGAGGGAGCCCCCGUCGCCGCCCGUCCCCCGCGACGUGCACCAUUCUUCAGCACACACACGGGCCACCGGAAGCGCAAAGAAAACAAAUUACAAAUGCCCCACCCAGGGUCCCAUUCUACGCCAGCUCAGCUCAGCUCAGCUCAGAUCUUCUCCUCCCGUCCCGUUGCCGCGUGCGUGACGCGGUGACGGUGCGGCAGCACCACUCCGUCGAUCCAGCCGAGAUCCGGCUUCCGGCGCCAUUUUUAUAUAAUCUCGCCCCCGCCUGAUCCGAUCGGAUCGGGCUUCCCCCUCUCCUCUCACGCCUUCGCUGCCUUUUCUACCCACGCGUCUCUCGCCAGUCGCCAUCACCAUCAUCAUCGUCAAUCACGGCGACCUCGCUCUCGCUGCCCGACUGGAACCGGUAAUCUAAUGGCUAAUGCCCUCCAUUAACCCUCUCGCUAUCCUCUAACCAGUGGUGCUUAAGCAAAAAAAAAAGGCUCUGCUACUGCUGCGGCCUCGCUCAGAUCCGCCCCGCUUCGCUCCCCACCCUUCCCCCCUGCUGGCCGUUGCUCUGCAUCUGCUGCUCUCCUCGGCCGGGAAAAAGGUAGGGGCAGGCAGCCGUUGCGCGGUUGCCGGUUGGCUGGCGCCGCUGACCUUCCGUUCGUUUCGCGGUUGCGUGGCCUCGAUCUGCCGCGCGGCAUCUUUUACUUGUCCCUAGUGUAUGUAGUGUACUGUCCUGUUUGUUGCUCAUGCUCUUCCGCUUUUCCGCGGGCGUGCGAUUGUUCCGCUUCCGCAGGACGCUGCUGCUAGGCUGACAGCGGCGAGGAGGAGGAGGAGACGAGGGAGCCAUGGCUCAGAUCCUGCUCCACGGCACGCUCCACGCCACCAUCUUCGAGGCCGAGUCGCUCUCCAACCCGCACCGCGCCAGCGGCGGUGCCCCCAAGUUCAUCCGCAAGGUACUCCUCUCCUCAAUCUCGGGACCCCUUUCUCCCUCCCUUCCUGUCUCCCAACGAUCUCUUCCAUUCCACCACGCCCGACCCGACUUGGGCAUGCUGGCGUCCAACAGCCGCGCAAACUCGUGAUGAUGAGUGAUGUGGUUAGUAGAGAGGCAGCGAAUGGUUCAUGAAUGAUGGCACUGCCUGCCUCCAGAAUACUAGUCUCUCUACUGUUGAUUGCUUCAUCAUCAACAGCCAUGCUACUGUUUUAAUUUUGCUCAAGAGAGCGCUCAAGCACUAGUCCCCUUCGAUCAGUCUGCCGUAAUCUCGUUUCUAAAAGUAUGCCUACCAGAUUCGUCUCUUCUGCUAACACGACCUGUUCGUUUCGUUUCGACAGCUUGUGGAAGGGAUCGAGGAUACCGUGGGUGUCGGCAAGGGCAGCACCAAGAUAUAUGCUACCAUUGAUUUGGAGAAGGCCCGCGUCGGGCGUACACGUAUGAUCUCCAACGAGCCCAUCAAUCCUCGUUGGUACGAGUCCUUCCACAUCUACUGCGCGCACAUGGCCGCCGACGUCAUCUUCACCGUCAAGAUCGACAACCCCAUUGGGGCGUCUCUCAUCGGGAGGGCCUACUUGCCUGUCACGGACCUCCUGGACGGAGAGGAGAUCGACAAGUGGCUUGAAAUCUGUGAUGAGAACCGCGAGCCUAUUGGAGACAGCAAGAUCCAUGUGAAGCUUCAGUACUUUGAUGUUUUCAAGGACCGCAAUUGGGCGAGGGGUGUUCGGAGCACCAAGUACCCUGGUGUUCCUUACACCUUCUUCUCGCAGAGGCAGGGCUGCAAGGUUACUCUGUACCAGGACGCUCAUGUCCCCGACAAUUUCGUUCCUAAGAUCCCGCUUGCUGAUGGCAAGAACUAUGAGCCACACAGGUGCUGGGAGGAUAUCUUUGAUGCCAUAAGCAAGGCCCAGCAUUUGAUUUACAUCACUGGCUGGUCCGUGUACACCGAGAUCACCUUGGUUAGGGACACCAACAGACCGAAACCUGGUGGUGACGUUACUCUUGGGGAGUUGCUCAAGAGGAAGGCCAGUGAAGGUGUCCGGGUCAAUAUGCUAGUGUGGGAUGAUAGGACUUCAGUUGGUUUGCUUAAGAAGGAUGGCUUGAUGGCUACCCAUGAUGAGGAGACUGCAAAUUACUUCCAUGACACAGAAGUCAACUGUGUUCUGUGCCCUCGCAACCCUGAUGAUUCUGGCAGCUUUGUUCAGGAUCUGCAGAUAUCAACUAUGUUCACACACCAUCAGAAGAUAGUAGUAGUUGACCAUGAGCUGCCAAACGAGGGCUCCCAGCAAAGAAGGAUAGUCAGCUUCAUUGGUGGCAUUGACCUUUGUGAUGGAAGGUAUGAUACUCAGUACCACUCCUUGUUUAGGACACUUGACAGUGUCCAUCAUGAUGACUUCCACCAGCCAAACUUUGAGGGUGGAUCAAUCAAGAAAGGUGGUCCAAGAGAGCCAUGGCAUGAUAUCCAUUCACGGCUGGAAGGGCCUAUUGCUUGGGAUGUUCUUUACAACUUUGAGCAGAGAUGGAGGAAGCAGGGUGGCAAGGACCUCCUUGUACGUCUCAGGGAUCUUUCUGACAUCAUUAUUCCCCCUUCUCCUGUGAUGUUCCCGGAGGACAGAGAAACAUGGAAUGUUCAGCUCUUCAGAUCCAUUGAUGGUGGUGCUGCUUUUGGGUUCCCUGAGACUCCUGAGGAAGCUGCAAGAGCUGGCCUUGUGAGUGGAAAGGAUCAAAUCAUCGAUCGGAGUAUCCAGGAUGCAUACAUAAAUGCCAUCCGAAGGGCGAAGAACUUCAUCUACAUUGAGAAUCAGUACUUCCUUGGAAGUUCAUAUGGCUGGAAGGCCGAAGGCAUCAAGCCGGAAGAAAUUGGUGCUCUUCACUUGAUUCCGAAGGAGCUCUCAUUGAAGAUUGUCAGCAAGAUUGAAGCUGGGGAACGGUUUACUGUUUAUGUUGUGGUGCCAAUGUGGCCUGAGGGUGUUCCAGAAAGUGCUUCUGUUCAGGCAAUCCUUGACUGGCAAAGGAGAACAAUGGAUAUGAUGUACACUGACAUCACACAAGCUCUCCAAGCCAAGGGAAUUGAAGCAAAUCCCAAGGAAUAUCUCACUUUCUUCUGCUUAGGUAACCGCGAGGUGAAGCAGGAGGGAGAAUAUGAACCUGAGGAACACCCAGAACCUGACACUGAUUACAUCCGGGCUCAAGAGGCUAGGAGGUUUAUGAUCUAUGUUCAUACCAAAAUGAUGAUAGGUAAUGAAUCAGUUCUACUUUGCCCUCGUAUUGCACUAUAUUUCACUUUUAAGUUUACUGAAUUUUUUAGCGCAGUUAAGUUUACUGAUAUAUAUGGAAUAUAUGUUUUAUAUGUUCACAUCUAGAACAUGUUUCCUUUAGCUACAAAGCAUGCAUUUCUGCUUUAACUGUGUAUUGGAAGCAAGGGAUCACUUUAAGUUAGAAGUAUAAUUAUUUUAGAGAGCAGCAGAAUCAACUUAAAGCAUAAAGUAUAUCAGGAAGAAAUUGUCCUGUGCUACUAUAAUCCUGCUUCAAAGAUUUCUUGCUCUUUUGGAUUGAAACCAAAGGGUAUAGUUAGUUUCUCUUGAUAGCAAAGCAUUGGGCACUGCUUAAAUUGUUUUCUUUUCUUGGCUUUAGAGGUGUUAGAUUUUCUGUUCAUGAUAGUAACAUCUAUUUAUCCAUGCAUUACACUAUAAAUGCCAGUAGUUUUUUUAAUAGGCCACACAUCUUUUGUUUUUCAAGAUUUAGAAGCAUGGUUGAUGUUGUGAAACUUACUUCUGAUGUGCAUUUUUUUAACGCAACUUCUGAUGUGCAUAUGUUUGGAGCAACAUGUUUUUUUAGUUAAAAGCGUAACUAUACUGGACAGGAAAGGCAUCAAUAUAAAGCAACAAAUAUUAUGGGGAAGAACUGUCUUGUGCUCAUAUAAUUCUACCUUUUAAAAGGAUUUAACACUCUUUUCAAAUGAGUAAAAAUAAUUCAAGGUAUACAGUUACUAUUUGUAGCAAAAUGUUGAACGGCUGAAUCCUGCUUGAAUUCCCUCUCUUGCUUGGCUUGAAAGGCGUCCAUUUGUUGAUGGAGAUGGUAACAUUUUUUUGUUUGAUUUCAGUGGACGAUGAGUACAUCAUCAUUGGGUCUGCCAACAUCAACCAGAGGUCCAUGGACGGUGCCAGGGACUCUGAAAUCGCCAUGGGCGCAUACCAGCCGUACCACCUGGCGACCAGGCAGCCUGCCCGUGGCCAGAUCCACGGCUUCCGGAUGUCUCUGUGGUACGAGCACCUGGGAAUGCUGGAUGAUGUCUUCCAGCGCCCUGAGAGUGUGGAGUGUGUGCAGAAGGUGAACAGGAUCGCCGAGAAGUAUUGGGAUCUAUACUCGAGCGACGACCUGGAGCAGGAUCUCCCAGGCCACCUCCUCAUGUACCCAAUCGGUGUCACUGCCGACGGCACCGUUACUGAGCUUCCGGGGAUGGAGAACUUCCCUGACACCCGUGCCCGUGUCCUCGGCAACAAGUCGGAUUACCUUCCACCCAUCCUCACCACAUAGAGUGCAGACUGCAGGUAGCGCCGUGGCUCCUCUCCUGUCUGGCCUCAACUUUGGUGUCCCUGUGUUUGUGUUCGAGACACUGAAGGUUCAGAUAGCAGUGUUGUUAUUAUAGUUUUUAUUGAGUGAUAAUAAGUGCAUUGUGCAUGAUGGGACGAUAGGAGUUAGAGUUGUUUAUUACUACUAAGUACUGGAUCCAGAUUGUGUUGUCCCCUUGUCUGGUAUAGCUCGUGUAGCUUGCUACGUUGCGGUGCUGUUUGUAAGAGGUGACUUCAGAGUUCAGGACUUAAACACGAUUGCUUGUUCAAGUGUGUGCUGCUAAAUGUCAAUGUGUUGCUACUACAACAAUAUGGAUAAUCUCGCAUCUAUCUAUAAAGACCUUUAAACGUGGUGAAAAUCUCCUGUUGCUCAACAGAUCCCAUGCCAUGUCUUCCACUCCCAAUCUGCCAUCAGUCAGGUGCACCCUCAGCAUAACAACCGAAAAUGACAGCUUUAAUUUUUCAGUCUUGUUUACAGCAAGGAGAUUUAUGGCUAAUCUCAACAUACAAGUUUGAUCAUGCACCUGACCACUAGGACCCUCCAAAAAAAAUCUAUCUUCUUUCUGCUUCUUUUGCUAUAGCUUGAAAUGAGCAGUAUUCGUAUCACCCUCUAAGAUGUUCAUAUCCCUGAAUCCUUGUCUGGCCUUAAUCUCCUCUAGAGUCUAUGACCUUACUAGCCUAGAGGCUGUUUGGUCCAUGUUACUUUUCUUUGUCUCAGUUAAGCCACUACUCUCCCCCAUAACAUAUAGCUUCCUAUACUGUUCUAUUAGCUCAUUCUUUUGCUACUUAUUCAUGGCCGCUAUCUCAUUCUCCGCCCACCAUCUAACUAUUCUCCUAAGGUUCUGAUCCCAAACUGCCAUUUAUGUAUGAUUCUAGACUCUGAGCAAGGAGCAUUCGACAAAGAACUCCAUCACUAAAAGAAGCCUUCUCCAGCCACCACUUUUCAAAACGAUUUUUCAUUUUACCUAAAUUAUCUCCUGUAUCCAAAUCUUGCACUACUUGUAUUUCAUACAUGUCUCUUUUUUUUCCACACUGGCCCAUCCAGUGUCAAAGCCUUUCAGUUUUACUGAAAGGACAUAAUAUGGGUACUUAAAUUUGCUCCUAACCGUUAUCAUCUUACCUACACCAUUCUGGUCCGGCGCCAUAGGACAACCAUACAAUAUGAGGCUUCUUCAUGUCUGUGAUAAGAGACGCUACACACCAUGCAGUAAGCAUGAUUCCAACUAAAAGAACAUGUUCAUGUGUUCUGUUUAAAGACACUAAGCAUCUAUUUACGCUAAAUGCAGGGUGUGCUGUGAACAAGGAUUAAGGAACAGCUUAGGCUGAACAAGGCUGCAACCAGCACAAUCAUGGCCAGAUUGGAGGCCCAAAGAGCAAUGUGUGAUUUAUUUGAAACCGAGCUCCAUAAGAAUUGCUAACAGACAGGUGAUCUGGAGAGGCAGAAAGAGCCAAACAUUGCUGGAGGAAAGGCACGUCAAGAGUCCAAAGUACCCCUAAGCAAGAAGGCUGAGGAGGAGGAGCCUUCUCCCGCAGGAGCUCAGGGUUCUCCUGGAGGAAGAUCAGAGAAAUUCAGGUGGACAUUUAUAUUUACCUAGGAGAAGAAGAAAUUGGAACAGUAACUUCAACUAACCAUAAAUGAUAAAUGAACUAUAAUCACAGUUAUAAUUAAGCUUCUCAAGGAGGUCAUUUUCCACUCAACAGAACACUGGUGAUACUGAAAGAGGCAGAACAUUAGUGCAGGAGAAAGUUAGAAGAGUUCGCGAUCAAGGAACGGCAACUUGCAUGAGAAGGUGCAUAAAAGAAACCAGAAGGUGAAGAGAUGAGAAGGCUAAUAUAGAAAGCAAUCAUGCAGGAGUGGUACACAAGAGUCCAAAACUAAAAACGCCCAAUAGAGCAAUUGGUGCAUGGAGUAGAAUCCCCAGAUAUUCGACAGAUGAGCCAAACAGUGUCGCAAAAGAGUGAAACACUUCGUUUUCUUUUGAGGAAAGUCUGAAAGAGUGAAGCACUUGGUCACCGGUGUCGGCAAAGCUUAGGCCUUGGCCACUUGCCCAGCUGUCUAUCUACAUCUAACGAGCUUUUAGGUCAUGGACCGUGGACCGAAAAUACUACUAUAUGAUAUCACUAAUACAGCAGCUUUUACAUGGUUUUUACACUUAUGUUUCUUUAAGGUUAGUGUCAGUACAAACCCUAGACUUAAACUGGCACUGGCAGACAACCGCCAUUGUAAAUCAAAUUUAUAAUAGCGAUUGGCAUAAACUUGUAACCUUAGGAAAUCUGCUAGUAGAGAUGUAUCAUCACUGUUAAUUUAUAGCCAUGCGUCCAUAGUUUCAGUUGUACUAGCGCAUGAUUUUUAUGAACCACUAGUGAAAAAAAUCUCUAGUAUAGAUAAAAAAAAUUAACCAUUUCUGUACUAGUGUAUGUUACCUCUAUAAAAAAAAAGGAUACAACUCUAGACUUAAUUCAAAGUGAAACUAACUUAAACUUACUAAUUUAUAAAAAGUGGUAUCAACCUUGAAGACUCUAAAUAGAUAUACGUAUAUAUUCAAUACAAAGCUAAAGGUACUUAUUUAGUAUCAUAUAUAAGCAAUAUAGUUACAUUCUUUUAUGACCGAGGUAGCAGGAGCAUGUGCUACCACAACUAGUUGUAGCACUUGUCUAUCACAACAUCGAAAUCAAGAAGUAAAGAGCUGUCCGCCGAAAAGGAAAUUCAAGGAGUGGAGUUUCGCUUGCAUGAUGACGCCAGCUAGUGCCUGUCACAGGAACCGCAAGAGGCACAGCACAGGCAUUGAUCAUCGCAGCGAAGGCACAAAAACAGCGGUAAAUGGCGAAAGUAAUAAAUUUGUCGUUUCGGUCAAAGUAACCAACAUUCUUUUUAUUACAGCAGGCAGCUCUCCUGCCGGUUCGUUUCAAAAAAGUAACCAACAAGUGGUUAGUUCCGCACUGCCUCGGGUUUAUUUGCAUAUAUGCUUGCGCUUUGGAACAGAUUUGAGUCAAAAACUCAAACUUCUAAAGCCUUCACUUAAAAAACCUCUUGAAUCAAUUAGAAACUUGAUGAUCAUUUGUGUAGAUUUUACCUUACUUUCAUAAAACCAUAAAUCUGGUAUAUGUUCAUUAACCUUUUUCUUUUUGCCGAGGAUGUUCAUUAAUCGAAAGUUGCUAUGCUAUAGCUAUCUAGAGGAAGAGGGUGUGGAAUGCAUGGUGAGUUGGUCAGUUGGUGAGUGGUGACUGAUGGAGAUUUGGAGAAUGAAAGCAUAGUCGGUCGAUUUGCUUUAACGACUCGAUCGGGGAGCAAGAGCAACGGAUGGAAAUUAGCGAGGGGGAAAAAAAAGCAAAUGGGCCUACGAGGCUGGACGUGCGGCUACUUUGGGCCAGUCCACAUCAGGCCUUCCCAAUUGUUGCGGCGCGAAGCUUGUACAAGCCAAUAGCAACUCGUAACCGGGGCAAAGGGUUUCAGCCUGGUACACCGUAGAGCCCACCAAAGGUAAGCUCAAGGGCCAGUGGGCCACUGUGGAAAGCUCGUUGCCGAAUUUGAACAGCGCGCGUUGCCGAAUCCGAAGGCGUAUCGCACGCACGCUACGGCCCCAGCUCUGCUUUCGGGUUGGCGACGGGACGGACGGCGACCGUGCAGUGCAGGGGACACCACGGAAUCAACGGCCAGUAAUCUUACCUGAGAAACAAUGUCGACGCCCAAAGCAUAAUCACAGCUUUGAUGAUGAUGGGCGCCCCACUAUUGUACACUUCUUUGCCCAGGUUAACCUCGGCAUCAUCUCUGUCUGCGCUUACUUUAAUCAGCACACAUCACAUAGACGUGUGGGUGGGUACAUGCGAUGCGACGAACACGACGCCACUAGCGCACUGGUAACUAAGAUCUGCGUUGCUUCGGUUCAAUGGAGCGUUGCUAGGGAGAGUGAUGUUUCGUCUUUUCGAGAUACGUAUAGUUAGCUAUGCAUUUAGAUAUAUAAUUCGUAACUCUCAGCCCUGAUAAACGAUACGUGUCUAGAUACCUAAGUAAGAAGAGGGCUAACGCAGACCAACGUGGGUAGUGGUUUGAGGUGAAAGUUCAGAGAUUUCAAGUUCACAAUGCAGGCUGUUAUGACCUAUUAAAUUGUGGCCUCAUUAUUCCUAACUCUCAGCCCUGAUAAAAGGUGUGAUGUACGUUCUAAUGGUAGCUUCUCUCUUUUAUCAGAUCAUCUUCUACAGGCCCUAUGGGCUUCACGCAGACAUGAAAGCUAGGGCGUAUAGCCACCAUGUAGUGUUAGGACGGCAUGAUAGUAAUGUAUCUAGAAAAAUCAAAACAUCUUAUAAUUUGAACGUAUGAAUAUUUAUUGUUAUUUUUCUGGACCUUGUGGAUAAUCUUCUCACAAUGGAACACACACAAAUGAGAAUUAACUAUAUUACCACCUCCAAAUGAACUUUUUUUUAAGAAUUGUGCAGCACAAGAAUGAUGGGAAACUAAUAAUGAGGAAACAUACAACCUGCAUAAAAUGAGAACAUGAUGAUUAAUAUGGGGCAGUGAACCAUUAGUGGUCCCUAAAUAGAAGGCGUAGCUAUUUUUUAUAGUCCAAAAAUAGACAAGGCAGCUAAGUCUUGGUGCCAUUCACGCGCAUCGCAUGCAAAAUUUAGGGGUCGUUCAGUAUCGCUUCAACUGCAGCUGUUGAAGGUGUUUUCUCAUCAAAACCAUCCAAAUGCCUUUGAUUUGAGCCGCUCCAUGGGCAAAGUUGCGGAUUGACAUAUGGAGAGCGAAUGCACAUACCCACAACAUUUAGGCCUUGUUCAGUUUUCAAAAUUUUGGUUUUUAGAUAUUGUAGCACUUUCGUUUUUAUUUGACAAAUAUUAUUCAAUCAUAGACUAACUAAGUUUAAAAGAUUCAUUUCGCGAUUUAUAGCUAAACUGUGUAGUUAGUUUUUGUUUUCAUUUAUAUUUAAUGUUUCAUACAUGUACCGUAAGAUUCGAUGUGACAAAGAAUCUUGAAAUUUUUUAAAAACUAAACAAAACUUUAAAACGCUAUCCUCAAAUAAUGAAGACAUCCAUGUACACGGGCGGAGUUAGAAUCGGUGCCAUGACGCUGGUCCUAUCGAUAAAAUCUCUUUAUACAAUCUUGCUCCACCUGCCCCCUUCCACAUAUGUUCUGUUUUUCUAUACGAUGGGAUUAAUACAUUUGUUUGAUUUUAGGUUAGCCAAGACCUAAUGGAAACACGGCGUACAAUACAAUGCAGAGCUGGUCAUAAGAAAACUUUUUUUUUAAUUUUGAGGAAAUAGCUAGUCCAUGAGAAAACGUUGGAUCGUGGAUGUAAUGAAAUCCGUGAUUUUGGUGCCGCGAACCACAACACCUUUUGUGACAGUGCAUUCUGUACAAUACAAACAACUACGUGCAUCUUUACUUCAAAAAGAAAAGAAAAAAAAACAAUUACGUACAUAUCGAUCGUCGCACGUGCGACGUGGACCGUUCAACAUGCAUGCCUGGAUUAAUAAUUAAUUAAUUAAUAGGAGUAUCCAACAAUAAUAUAUCUACAUGAUUUCAGGAUCAACUUCUUCACUGCAUUCAGGUGCUCUGUCCUCGUCGUUGCUCUGCGUCGGCUGGCAGCUCGUACGGCUACGCGAUCAACGAGGCAACCAUCUGCUCAGUGUCCGUGGACCCGAGGCAGCACUCGCCGUCGACGCCGCCGGCAGCAACGGCCCCGGCGUACAGACGGCCGAGGAGGACGAGAUCGCGGCGGGCGGCCGCGAGCCGACGGGACAGCGCGGCGGCCUCGGCGCGCAACGCGGCGUUGGCGAGCAAGGCGAGGGCCAGCCUACCGCGCGCGGCCUCCGCGCGCGCCGCCAGGUCGCGGUUCCCGCGCUCCAGGACCGCGGCGCUGUCCCGGAGCUCGUAGAGGUAGCGCUGCUUCCGCGCGCGGGACCGCCGCGCGGACUCUCGGUUCGAUAUCCUCCGCCGGAAACGCCGCUGAUGGUCGACGCACUCCGCCGCCGCGGCGCCGGCGUCGACCCCAGGCCAGGACGCCGCCGCGGGUUGAGUUGGGAAUGGGCCCCCUGCUGUGUGGUCUGGUCCGAACCCGACAUGCUGUUUGGCCAUCGCGGGGGAGAUUUGCAUGUCGAUGCAAGUCAUGCACCCUGAGAAGGCCAUGACGGGAGGAUGGUAAUCGUGUGCGAUUUUUUUUUUUUUUGACGGGGUCGUAAUUGUGAUCGGAGGAGGAAGAAUGGAAGAUGGGAAGGCCGCAGUAUUUAUACUGGUUUACGAGGGGUAUCUUGGUAUUCUGUUUGUUGAUGGGUGUGGGUCCAAUGUUUGUUGGAGAUGAGGCAACACGCAAUACAAUCUUUUUCGAUCAAUCUUGAAAUUGACAAAGUUAUCAAUAAUCUAACAAUGUCUGAACCAUGUAUAUCAUACGAUCAUGUGACACAAGUUAUUAACUAAGAACUACAUGUAAGGAAAAGUAUAACACAUAAAGGCACCUCUAGUGAUGACUUAUAACUUAUAAACUAGGUUUAAAUAAUGUUAUUUUAUAUUUUAAUAGUGCAGAGGAAACCUAUAUCUUCAUGAAGAGUCGGUCUUAUACACACUUCAAGAUCUUAUGAGGUCGUCAUAUGGGGUAUUCAUAAUGUGCUAAAAGUAAACACCGUUAUAGAAGUUGUUGUAGAGCUAGUAGCUAUAAUAAUUAUCUUAUACUCUAUUUGUUCAAAAUUAUAAGAUGAUUUGACUUUAAUUUCUAUGUACGUUAUGUUUACUAUGUAUUUAGAUGUAGUGUGUAUUCAAAUACAUGGAAAAACUAUGUAUCUAAAAAAGUUAAAACAUCUCAUAAUUUAGAAUGAAUGAAGCAUUGUUAAGUGUGCCAUAAUAAAAAGAGAUCUAGGUCUUCCAUAAUUGACUGAAAUCAACACAUACAUUUACCUUAGCCUUAGCGAGUUUAGUAUAGGAUUUAGACCAGGCUAUCCAGUACUUCCUUGCGGAUACGAUGUAAACCUCUAGGAAAUAUUCACAAGAAAAAGCUACAAAUGCACAAUAUGAUUGUUCUUCACAGAUGUGCGCGCACAAAGCACCAACAAAUAUUACAAAAUAGAUUAUUGGUUGCAGAUACAUUGGACACAACCACACAUGACAUUGACGCUCAUAGCUAUGUCGCCGAGACAUCUGGUCAUCGCCUAUCGUGAGUCUGUAGCAUAAUGGCAUCUACGAGUGGCGGUGGCACACAUGUUGUUGGUGUUUUGAACCGCAACCGACUAGUAAAUUUAUAAUCUGCACGUCUAGACUUGGAUGAUGUACAAAGAGGACACAAGGAUGUAUACUAGUUUGGGCAAAAUGUCCCUACGUCCAGUCACGAGCUGCUCGUGUUACCUUUACACGGUUUGUUUGCAGUAGGGGUUACAAACAGUCAAGAGAGGGAGAGGACUCCUAAGUCUUUUGUGGUGUGUAAAUAUGUAAGCUAAGAUGCUUGCAGGUUUAUUUGUUUGAUGACUCGAUGCCUAAGGCAUCGUGCCUCCCCUUUUCAUAGGUAGGGGGAAAACAUGUUACAUACUUGGUGCGAACAAGUAAAAAAAGAGAGAAGAAAAAGCUAAAAGAUGAAAAGAUAAAAAAAACUCCAGGGGGUCGUCUCAUCUCCUCCUCGACGUGCGGGUUCCGCCAACCCUGUAGACUCUGUUGGAUGGCUGGAAUGGUGUCGUGCCAUCCCCUCGUUGGCCACUGUUGCCAUGCGAUGGCUGGCGUAGGACAAACAGGGAGCUCUGUACUUUCCCGAUUAACAUUAUGGUCAACCGGCUUCCCAGGUGAGGACCAUACCUGUACUAUAGAGUGUUUUGGUAGGAGAAGUACAGAGGUUGGCAACACAUUGUCGUUCUAUACCUAUCUUUGAUGACAUACGACAUCUCGGUGUUGCUCGAUGUGGACAUAAGCCACACGAGGGCGUGUGCUCCACUUUCCCAGCGUUGGAGAUGUUAGAGGAUUAGGUUCAAGGUGGUUGAAGGCGACAUAAGCUUUAUGACAUGCGUCUGCCUUCAUCCGAGGGUCGUUCACCGUCGUCUGAGGGUCCUUAUGCAUAAUACCAUUGUGCGAGGUAGAAACUUCCUUCAUGAGACCGAAAAAGGGGGGUCCACCUUUUCCAGGUCGAGCAAGGCGGGGGCGCGUCCUUGGGGUCGGGCGAGGCGGAGAUCACACCCUCGGGGUUGGAUGAGGUGGAACUCACUCCCUUGGGGCUGGGCGAGGCGAAGCUUAUUCCUUUGGGGCCGGGCGAGGCAGAGCCCACAUCUUUAAAAUUGAUGUGUGUUGAGUUACAAGUAUUGGGACCAAAGUCACAAGCUAGUGAUUCACAUGACAUGCCUUGUCGUUGCCUGAUCGACGAAUGACCGAUACCGUGUUUGCACCUUGCGACCAUGAUCGAGAGAAUCUAUUUUUGUGUAGUCUCUAUGGAGCAUAUUUUUUUCAGGUUGGAUUGGAUCAAAGUGAAGAGUUAUUUCCAAUCUAGUUCGGAAAAAUAAUACAGCUAUUUAGAGAAGACUAAAACAACACCAUGCUAGAAGGCUACAAACAUAGAAUUUGUUUACUUGGCUUAAAAGUUAUGAUUAAAUUUACUAAUCAUUAAUUUAUUAUAAAAAUAUUGCUGAAUAACUAGCAAAUCUCGAAAUCAGACUGCACAUGCGCGCGCACACACGCCCACAACGAAUAUGAAUAGAGACAGGCAGAACAUGAAGCAAGCUCUAGCGACUAGCGGUGAAGACGCAUCGGCGUGCAACGUCCGCUCCUCCUCCAGUCCUCUUACCUUAGGCCUUGUGUAGGGCCUUGUUUAGUUCCAAAAUAUUUUGCAAAAUCGACACUGUAGCUUUUUCGUUUGUAUUUGAUAAAUAUUAUCCAAUCAUAGACUAACUAGGUUUAAAAGAUUCGUUUCGUCAAUUUCGACCAAACUGUACAAUUAGUUUUUAUUUUUUAUCUAUAUUUAAUACUUCAUGCAUGUGUCUAAAGAUUCGAUGUGACGGGGAAUCUGAAAAAUUUUGCAAAAUUUUUUGGGAACUAAACAAGGCCCAGAUACACCCAAAAACCCAAAACUUUAUAAGAUUCUCCAUCAUAUCGAAUUUUGCGGUACAUGCAUGGAACAUUAAAUAUAAAUAAAAAAGAUAACUAAUUACACAUUUUACAUGUAAAUCACGAGACGAAUCUUUUAAGCCUAGUUGCUUCAUGAUUGGAUAAUGUUUGUCAAAUAAAAACGAAAGUGCUACAGUGUCAAAAUCCAAAAUAUUUUUGGAUCUAAACAAGGCCUUAUCCGAAAAAUAAAAAUAAAAAAUCACGUGCGACGGUACGAGCGUGACGCGACCCGCUCGCGCUCGCUAUUGGGCCCCAGUCCGAUCGGGUCGGUGCCUACCCACUCCCGCUGGCCGCCGCGCCCAGGGCCCAGGCGAGGCGAUGCGCGUCGCGGACCACGGAACCAAGCAGACCGACCGAGUCAAUCAAUCCGGCGAGUUGUGCGUGUGCGGCGCGGGGUGUGUGUGUGCGCGCGUGAGGCAUGGCGACCACGCGCGACCGUGGCGCCGGCGGCGGAUCGGCGUCGAGGGUCGGCGACGGGGACGUCGACCUGGGCGAGGGCUGGGACUGGGGCGCCAUCCCGCGGCUCCUCUCCUCCGCCUGCCUCUUCCUCUGCUCCGGGUGGGUCCGCUUCGCUCACGGUCCUCUCCCCCCCUUCCCUUCCAUCGCUCGCCUUAGCUUUCCGCAUCUGGUCAAUCAAGUGCGAUCUGCGCCGCCUGGGACCGAACCAACCGUAGGAGGGGUUUGCGCUGCCGCGACCGCGAGUGAACCAGCUGCUUGCGGAUGCUGGCAGAUUGACGUAGCCUGUAGAGUGUGUGACACAGAUGGAAAUAUGGAAUCCCGCCGUUGCGAGACGGCUGUGCGUUCCGGUCGGCGUCCGCGCCAUGGUUCAUCCAUCUAGGUUGGUGAUUGAUUCCGCUGCGCAUCUGUAUAUGAGUUCGACAUAGGUGCUGGAACUCAAUUCAUAUCGUUUUUCAAGACGUUACCCCUCGCAAGGUAGUGGCGUUACCAGAUUUAGCGACUACCCACUAGCUGUCUGCAGCCUUUAGCCUAGGUGUCUGUUUGGGAUUAGAUGUUAGGAUGUUCUCGUGCUCUCGGUCUUUCACCCACUGACUAAAGUCGCUGGUGACCUUGUCUGCCUCUAGAUUGUGGCAUGUUUGCCAUCUGUUUCAGUUUCAUAUUUGGGUAUCUUUACUUGCCUUUUUUUUUAAUCUACUUAUGCUAAUUGUCUACAUGAUCAAACUCCUUCCGAACAGAGCAGAGGCUGUUUUGGUUGCUGCGAUAAGACUGUAAAACAACUGGGUGAACUGUCCAGAAACCUAAUCACCCAUGACCAAAUAACCAUUGGAGAGCCAUAUUGGAGCACAACCACCAUCGAGGUUGAACCAGCAGAUCUCAGGGGUGUUUCUCCAAUGAGUACAUCUAACUGGGCCUUUGAUCAGCAUGGAACUGGUAGCAGUCAUAACCUUCCUGGACUUGGUAAUAAUGGUAGGUCACUCUGAAUCAUGUUUUCAGUUCUGCUAAGCUAGGGCAUUUUCACUGGAUCGACAUAAUGCCUCCUUUACUACAAUCUUAACCUUGACUUUGUCCUAGUUUCUCUGAGCUGAGAAAAAAGAAUGUUGGGCUUAGUUUUCUGUGGUUUCAAUGGGAAAUUUAUUUUCAUCGCUUGAUAAAUUGUUCUUAAAAGUACCAUCGCUUGGCAUAAAUCUCAAUAUUCAUGUUGAGCUAUGUCAGGGUUUAACUAUUGCCAGUACCGAGAUCGAUGCAUUACUAUGCUACCAUGUCUUAAUUUUCUGUGGUUUUAAUCAGAAAUUUAUCGAAUAUUUGAAACCACAGUUUUGUUCUGUCAUCUUUCACAACAUAUGGUACAUUUUGCAACUAGAUUGGUAUAUAAGAAACUUUAGUAGGCAGAAGAAAAGGCAGUGCCCUGGUCGUGGGGAGGUUACUUGACCUCUCCAUCCACCCGAGUUUGACAGCUUCAACCAGCUAAGGUGCCAAUGUCCUUUGGUGAAUGCCAUAUCUUCUAAUCAUUUGUCUUUUCCUGAAAGAAUGGGUGAAGAAGUUUUGACUUUUGAUUAGGCAAACUAUUGCCUGAUUGUUAUUCUGAUGUUUGUGCUGGAUACCAUGUGAAAUUGGUGUACCUAUUGAGAACAACCUUAGUAUGGUUGUCUGAAGUUCAUUUUUUUUUUGCAGGACUCAUCCUGUGGGAACAGACUAGGCAGGAGUGGACUGAAAUUAGAAGUCUACGGCCGAAGGUGAAGCAGGUUCGCGAACCAGUAUUGAGGUAUGAGCGAAUGAAAUGAAGACCGCAACCCAAAAAAUUUACCCAUAUCACGUUUCUGUCAGACAAGUAUAUAUUCUAUGAAGUACAUUUUCUUUGACCAAAUGCACUUUGUCCCUUCUUCAUAUUGAAAGCAAAGGGUUAUGCUGGGAUCACCAGCUUUUCAUAUUAAACCUCAGAAUACCAUGCUUGCCUACCAUCAUUUUAGCUUUCAGUAACCAUUUUGUCUGCAUUCUUAUGGAAACAGAGCUAGUAUCCUUUUAUAAUCUAGUUUUAGACGCAUAUUUUUGUUCUCCUGAAGUUUGAAAUCAUUGCGAUAGACCUGUUUUUAUCCAGGUGAUAUUAGUUGUAUUGGUCUUGUUGGAGUUUCUACUGAUUCUUCCAAUUGUGCGCUGUUAGUAUAGUUUAUCACUUCAUUCAUGUUGCGCACUAUAUGUUGCUCAAGCCCAAUGUGUUCCUUUGUGCACUCCGAUUCCAUAAUACUUGUUCAUCAUCCUCACUAGCGUCAUUGGGACCAUUUUCUACACCUACUUUAAUUGUAGGGAAGUGAUUAAGCGAUUGUAAAAUAAUAUUUGAUAAGGUUAUAUUGAGCUUGGACAUACAUACCGUUAAAUGGUUAUUUCUUAUGUGACUUGUAAGUUCUACAGCAUAUUAUCUAGGAAACUUUCAUAAGCAACAAAUAGAGUACCUUUGAAUCAAAUUUGAUGGCAGCUGCUCCUUUUACAAGAAAGAUGCAGAGAACCAGCUAUGAUGUUAGUUUUUUUUUAAGAAGAGCUAUGAUGUUAGUUGAAUCAGAAAGUGGAUAGUCAGUCUUAUUUGUGUGCAAUUUGUUUUCUCUCAAAUAGGUACUAGGUUUUUAUUCCAUUCCCCAUAAUAUGCUGAAGCCAAUAAUGUCUUAUUUUGCUUCUGAUGAUGUAUUUCGUUUGUGCCACCUCAAGAAGCUUUAAGGAAUGCUAUCUUUAUUGAUUGUGGAGGUUUGUGUAAUUGUGCUAAAAAAUCUAUAUUUAUAUAUGCAGUUGGAAUGCAGCAUAUGAGAGUCUGCUUGGAUCAAAUAAGCCAUUUCCUCAACCCAUUCCUCUUCAUGUAAGAUCUAACACAUUUCAGUCUAGCAUUUCUUGCAAGGCAUGCACUCUUAAACAUGGGUCAUGACAUUGCAGGAGAUGGUCGAUUUCCUUGUGGACAUCUGGGAGCAGGAGGGGCUGUAUGACUAGCGCAAAUGAUUUCAUGGGAUAACAUAUCUGGGAUAACACAUAGUUGUUCCUCAAGAGAGGGGAAAAAAGAAUGACAUAGGGUGUGUAGGCUUGAGAUGAGGUGGCCUGUCAUACUUGUUUUUGUCAAUGGAGGCCUGUUGUACUUGCAGAAUACCGAGCUUGUAAUGCUAGAGAAGUCCUGAUACUGAUAGUGGCUUUGUUGAAUUUGUCAAAGAAAGUUGUGAGAGGUUGAGUUGUGACAAAAAGUGCGAUUUGUAUUUGAUUAAGAAGGCUUUAACAGUUAACACGAUGGCAGUUGCGUGUUGGUUCGAGAUGGUUGGAUUAUUCUAAGGAGCGAGGAGUCAUGUAAGUGUCCAGUUCGUGGUGAAUGCAACCUUUGACUGAUCCAGUUCCGGACUGUUAAAAUUCGUUCGUUCUGUAAUGUGAAGUGGCUGUGACUUGUCAUUUUGAUGAAUGAUCUCUCUUGCCAUAAGGAAAAAAAAUGGUUAAUGUGUGCACAACCUUUGAAUAUUGUGAGCACAAUACCCUACUCUGUCGCGAUUGAGAGGCUCCAACGAAACAGGACUAGAUCAGCAUCUACUCUCCUCAAAUCGAACUCCUCAAUUCCUUGGCUUGUUCAUUUGAAAUUAUCUAUUAAAUCUAUCAAUCAUUUAACAAUGUUUUUUUAUAAUAAAUCAGCAAAUAAUAUUUUUAGCCAUGACUUCUCGUACCAAAGGAUUGAGCAGCAGACUCAUUCAUCGAAUCAACUACGGUGAGUGAAUGCCAGGUCUGGCAGCGUGUCCACGUAGACAGCGUGCGCCCGACCCCAAAGCCAAAGGCCAAACUGCCAAAGCGUUGGGGUAUGCCAAGAAAAGGAAAGGCCGAAAGGGGCACGGCGAGAAGUAGUCUGGGCCGAAACCAGCAAAAGGGCCAUCGGCGUUGGGCCCCCGGCAACGACGCGCGGGCGCGGCCCUCUGCGUUCGGCCGGUCCCACCACCAGCUGUAGCCCCCCACUGGCCACCCACCCCCCCCGCCCCACUGCGCAUUCUCACACACACACACAACACUGUGCGACUUGUCCUCGGCGCCUCCGCUCCCCUUUUCCCCUUUUUAUUCGUCGACGCAUACUUGACCCGGCUGUAGCUGUACCGGAGAUAGAGCGAGGGUUCGGUGACGAGAAAACCCCAAUCGCCUCCGCCCCCCCUCCUCUACUCCGGCCGCAGCCGCCGACGUCGCCACGCGCAUUCCGCCGCGCCAAUCGGUAGGGUUCGCCCGCUUCCCCCCCUCAGCGACUCGAUCCCGCUCCCUCCUCGCGCGCGCAUUGCAUCUCGUCCCGCUUGUGUCGUUUUUGAUCUGAUUGAUCCGUGGUGGGUGGGCUGCGUGUGUGGCAGGGUACACGAGAAGGGUUGCGGAUGGAGUCGUCGGCGUCCGCGCCGGCGUCCAAGGGCCCGCGCUACGCGCCGCCGGAUCCGACGCUCCCGAAACCGUGGAGGGGGCUCAUCGACGGCAACACGGGGUACCUCUACUUCUGGAACCCGGAGACCAAGGUUACGCAGUACGAGCGCCCCGUCGCGGCCGUGCCUUCCUCCCCGUCGCAGCCGCCUGGCUACUCCAGGCACGAUGAGAAGCCGAGAAGCAGCGCACCUUCCGAGGUAACAACGCGUAUUCCGAAAAUGUGGCUUUGUGCGAGGUUGAGGUCUGCGAGAUGGUCUUUUUUUUCCUUCUAGAGAACAAAUGUUUGCUACAUUCUCAUAGUAGUCUGUAUUUGGUGCUUCAGCAGCGCUCGGAAGCUGCGGUGAGCCGCCAGCAGUAUGUGCCUCCCUCCGAUAACAGGGCAAGGAAUGAUCACUCGGAGGUGACCUGUUUUUCUCUCGUUACUUCACUAUAUCGAUCGCGUGCUACAUGUCAUCAUUUGCCCUGCAUUCGAUUGCACGGUGUGAUUUAGGUCAAGGUUGCCAGUAGAAGUAUAGUUGGAGGCUAGGAUAUACUCUGCCUGCUGGUCGAUUUCAGAGGUGGAAAUACCUACUUGGUCGAGUUCAGUUGAUAGUGAUGACCUUUCUUGGCUAACGAACUAUUUGUCAAGAGAGAUACUUUUCUUUAGCAACCUGCUUAAGCUGCAUGCACAAUGUAUCUAGUUACAUGUACAUGCAAUGCAUGGUAUUGUUAUUCAUUGGACAUUGCUGUUUCAAAAUAUCAAGGAAGAUACGAUAGUACUGUAGUAGUAAUAGUGCAUCAAAGAGUCAACAUAUGAUCAUAAGAGAGCAAAUCAUAAGCGAUUUACUUUUCUUUGUCCACUCAUAGCAUGCUACCUUGUUUCAGCCACGCUCUGCAUCUGGAGUGAACCUUUCACAAAGUGCUCCAUCCACUAAUCAGGUUUCUCAGGCUGCCAAUGGAAGCCAAAUGUCGACAGAAGCAUAUCGUGCUAAGCAUGAGAUUACCAUUGUUGUAUGUGAUCAACUAAUCCAUUCCUUUUUUUCUGUUUACUCCCUCCAUCCCAAAUUAUAAGAUGUUUUGGCUUUUCUAGAUACCUAGCAUUUGCUAUGCAUUUAGAUAUACACUAUGUCUGGAUACACAGUUAAAGCAGUGUAUCUAGAAAAGCCAAAAUGUCUUAUAAUUUGGAAUAGAGGGAGUACCAUCAAUCACUCUUGUUUUUAUUUAGAUGUUACUUAGAUUUUCCAUUCAUUUUCUUUUAUUAACAGGGCAAUGAGGCACCUGCGCCAUUCAUGACAUUUCAGUCCACAGGCUUCCCAUCAGAGAUUCUAAGGGAGGUAGGUCUACACAAUGUGUAGCAAUAUUAAUGUGCUUUUUUGGAUUCCUUUCUGAUGGGACCAGGUGGCCAUUGUGCAUCCAUUGUAUGUACGCAUGAUUAAACCAAGUUUUCUUUGCAGCAGGCUCUUCAAGUCAACAAUCCAAGUCGUGGUUCGACCUGUUUGUUGUCUUGUGCAGCCUCCUGUGGUUUGAAACAGCUCACUAUUUUGUUCAGUCUCCAACUGCAUGAUGUUUGGCUUGGCUUCUGUGUAACUAAAAAUUGCACAUCACGAGAAGCCUUUUCUCUUUGCUAUAGACUAUAUUAUGAUUUUUAUCCUUACACAGAUAUGGUAUUUAGAUAACACUCAUCUCUGAAGGGUAUCAACCUUUUGCAGGUUCUGCAAGCAGGUUUCUCAGCACCAACUCCUAUCCAAGCUCAGUCAUGGCCAAUUGCUAUAAAGGGUCGUGAUAUAGUAGCUGUGGCGAAGACAGGUUCAGGAAAAACAUUGGGCUAUCUCCUCCCAGGGUUUAUUCUUCUGAAGCGCCUGCAGCAUAAUUCAAGGGAAGGUCCAACAGUAUUAGUUCUGUCUCCAACCAGGGAAUUGGCAACACAAAUUCAAGACGAAGCAAUCAAGUUCGGAAGAUCUUCAAGAAUAUCUUCUACUGUAUGUUGCUUUAUAUUUUCUUAUAUCUGUUAUUAUCAUUACUAAUGCUUUUCUCUGCUUAGGUCUAGAACAUGUGUUGUAUUUUUAAAUGAAUUAACUAAGUUAGCGCCUCUAACCAUAUUGGUUAAUUCUAAUGAAUUCAUAUGCGAGCAUAUGAAAGCUCCAUUUAUGUUUAAUAUAUGUUGUAUAAGAGAUGUUAAUCUAAUUUUUAUUGUUUGAAGUGCUUAUAUGGAGGUGCUCCAAAAGGCCCUCAGCUAAGAGAGUUGGAGCGUGGUGCCGACGUUGUUGUCGCAACUCCUGGGAGAUUGAAUGACAUUUUGGAAAUGAAUAAAGUGAGCCUGCGCCAAGUGUCUUAUCUUGUCCUUGAUGAAGCUGACCGUAUGCUUGAUAUGGGAUUUGAGCCACAAAUAAGAAAAAUUGUGAAACAAAUACCACCUAGACGGCAAACUCUUAUGUACACUGCCACAUGGCCAAAAGAGGUUAGAAGAAUAGCGUCGGAUUUACUGAAUAACCCAGUUCAAGUUAACAUUGGAAACACUGAUCAGCUGGUUGCAAAUAAGUCAAUUACUCAGGUGAGUCAAAAUGUUGUUUUCUUUUUUUUUCAAACCAGAUACUUUGUUUCUGUACUUUGAGGUGGUUUGUUGCACACUGCAGCAUGUGGAAGUCAUCCCACAUAUGGAGAAAUCAAGACGACUUGAUCAAAUCUUGCGGUCACAAGAUCCUGGAUCAAAAAUCAUAAUAUUUUGCUCCACUAAGAGGAUGUGUGAUCAGUUGGCUAGAAACCUAUCACGGCAGUAUGGUGCUUCUGCUAUUCAUGGUGAUAAAUCACAGUCUGAGAGGGAUUCUGUGUUGAAUGACUUUCGAAGCGGCAGGUGUCCAGUACUUGUAGCCACUGAUGUGGCCGCUCGAGGCUUGGACAUAAAGGACAUCAGGUAGGGCUGUGUCUUCGUUGCUUCUCAAUUUUUGAGAGCUUUACCUUCUAAUCAUUUGAGCAACUGUGCCAUAGUCAUUGUAACGCUGAUAAUAAAAUGGUGAAUACACACAUUUUGUAUUCGACAUAAAUUUUUGAAUGUAACCCACUGACAAUCCUUCCAAAAUCUCCUCACAGGGUCGUGGUUAAUUAUGAUUUCCCAACUGGUGUGGAGGACUACGUCCAUAGAAUUGGGAGGACUGGUAGGGCUGGUGCGACAGGUUCUGCCUACACAUUCUUCGGUGACCAGGAUUCGAAGUACGCUUCAGAUCUUGUCAAGAUUUUGGAGGGUGCAAACCAAUCUGUGCCACAACAAUUAAAAGAAAUGGCUCUUCGUGGAGGAUAUGGUGGAAGAUCACGUCGGUGGGCAUCUUCUGAUGACUCUUAUGGUGGUCAAGGAUAUGGUGCUAAAAGAUCAACUGAUAGCUUCAAUAACAGCAGCUUCGGCAACCAGGCUGGGGGUGGUUCAAGCUUUCACUCGAGGUGUGUAUCAGUUGCAGUUUGAAUGCUUCCUUUUAGCCAUGCACAACCCUAACGAGUCAUGAAUUAGCAGCUUCCAUAACAGCUCCAGUGGCAAUCAGUUUGGUGAUACUACGAGCUUUCAUGGCAGGUAUGGUGAAAAUUUCUAUUAUACAUACAUUGUCUUUGGCCCAUCUAUACAUUAUAAUGAACCAUCACAUUACAGCUAUGAUAACAGCAGCCGCAACAAUCAGACAGGUGACAAUGCGAGCUUUCCACCCAGGUGUGUAUAAUUUUUCCUAUUCAGAUGAUUAUUUAGCUGAUGUUUCCCUGUUACAUGAUUAAUUGCUAUCUUUGAUACAGCUCCAGCAACAAUCAGUCUGGGGAUGGUCUCAGUUUUCAUGAAAGGUACUUUAUUAGUCUUUGAGCCAAUAUUUUUACCAUAUUUGGAAUUAUGCAGUGUCAUUUGAAAUUGUGAAGUUUAUAUAAUCUCUGAACUUGUGCUGUCAUUUGGUGCUGUCCGUCUUGUUGAAGCACUGAUCUAAUGGAACUUUUUAGCAUGAAAACAUAAUUAAAUUGGUGCAUCUUUUGUCCUAUUCCGUUUAUCUUCAACAACUAUUAUCACUUUUUGUUUCUUAAGUUUAUUGAAGGAGAAUAUAUAAUUGGUGGAAUAUUGGAUAUAUUGCAUUGGACCUCAUGGGUUGAUUAUAUAGGGUACAUAGGACUAACACCUCACAUGUACACAAUGUGGUACUAUUCCUAUUUACUCUAACUCCUCCCUGCAGUCACAGCGGGAGCACUGCAGAGUCUGGAGAAAUUGACAAAGCUAACAUCCCCUCGUAGUCAUAAUAGUUGAUGCACCCGGUAGCUGUGGCUAGAGAAGAAGCCGAUGAGUCUUCAUGCUAGGCGGUAGCCCUUUGUGCCGUUGUUGAGGUAGCCGAGCGUGAGGGCACAAUAGCUGUGGUCGAAGAAGCUAUGCUGAAGAUGGCCGAGGUUGACGUAGUUGUGGUUGGGUUGCCAUGUCGAUGGAGCUAGGUGCACAAGGGGCACCAUGGUGAUGACGGAGACGCAUCGAAGCAGUCAUCGUGGGAGGGGGAGAUGUCGAAGUUGACGUAGCCAGGGCCAUCGUAGACGAGAAGAAAGGCGACGAUGGAAUUGAGGUAGACGAGGGUCGAUGCCGAAGUCGAUGCAGUCAAAGCCGCCUGAGCACCGAGGCGUAGCUAGAUUUGCCAGAUCCAACAACACGUUAGGGACGAAAGCAUGCAUCGGUGUUGCCAAUACGGGUGUACAAGGGAGAGGGCCCCAACCGUGUGGUUGUGCUGGACGAAGAAGAAGCAAUGUGGGAGAAGACGCGUCGGCGAGCAGGUCUCAGCGACGAUGCGUGUAGCAGCAGCUUGAUGACAAAGAGUCAAAGACCCAAUCAACUGGACGAAGACCUUGUCAGACGGAUGGCGCAACAGGGAUUGCGUAGCACAGUGGUAGAUGCACAAUGAUGGCGAUGUAGAUGCGGACACACGGGCGACGGUGCUGCAGCCCGAUAAGGUGACACAGGAACAACCUUGUUGCUCAGCGCAUAAUACUCGGAGACAAUGUCGAUGAAGUCGAUGCCAAUGCCAGCAUGCGAGGCCGACGGCCAGUGGGCGACUCAAUCUCGAUUAGUGAUUGGGCAAACCAAAAAGAUACAACAACAAGAGAUCGGGUGUACCCAGCGAGACGACAUGGCGGCAGCGGUGUGACCCGAUUGGUCAGUGCAAGGCGCACGGCGGGUCACAGACGUGUAGGGUCGAAGGUGACGACGGGGAUCGACGUGGUCGAGAUGGGCACAUUCGCCUGACAACAACGACACGUCGGAUCUGUCUGCCUCCAUGGCAACGCAAGGUCAGGGCGUGUGGCUGGGCUUGACUGUCAUCCCGACGGCAUGGGAUGGGGCGAGAUCCAUCUGUCCAUGCGACGAAGAUCAGGUGUUGAUGGCGACAGCGACAGUCCGACAACGACGUAGGGGAGAUCCCGAUCUGCUGCGCGACAACGACGAUGGCAGCCGGAUCAAUAGGAUCAGACGCCUAAUCAGGACGCUGCCCCCAGCAGAGAUCAACCUUCCCCUGGGGGCACGUGGUGUGGAAGCUGCGGCGGCUAGGGUUAGAAUCUAAAUCAAGGCGAAUGAUACCAUGAAGGAGAAUAUAUAAUUGGUGGAAUAUUGGAUAUAUCGCAUUGGGCCUCAUGGGCUUGAUUGUAUAGGGUACAUGGGACUAACAUCUCACGUGUGUACAUAAUGUGGUACUAUUCCUAUUUAUUAUUCCUAUUUAUAUAAUGUGACAGCAUCCAUGAAGAAGAAUCUCAUCUGUCUGUAUCCUCCGUUCAAUUGGCAGGUUCUAUGGAUCACGUGGAAGGGACCAGAGCAAAACAAGCAAUGAUGGAUUCCGUGCAAGGAGCAGAAGUCCUCCUGGCAAGCCCGUGGGAGUUUCCAACUGGUGAUUGCAUCCACUAGGUGCAAUCCAAUUUUCGCGAUGGUGACGAAACCAAGUAGAACUGUAGAAGAUGGUACCCUAACAAGUUAUAUUAUUUCCUUUUCUUAUCCUGCUUAAAUCCAAGAAUUUCCUGGAACAUCACUAACUUAGGAUAUGGGUGAUGGUCUGAUCCCUAAUGGUCACCUGCUAUUUUGAUUUGACGCCUGGGAGUCGCCUGAUUCCGUACCAUAUGCCUGUGGUCGUAGGUUGUAAAGCGUUAAAACUUGACUUUGCUAAGUAUACCUAAUGCUAUGACCCAACCCUGGGUAAACAAGCGCAUUGGGAUGAAUUUUGGACAAAACCAUGGACAACUGAUAUUUUAAUGUUAUGUACAAUCUAUGUCGAAGACUGUUUGUAAAUGCUGCCCGCAUGGUUUUAUAUUGAAUUGAGCGCACGUUAUUACAUGUGUUGAAGGAUCAUCCUACACGUAUGUGACUCUGCUCAUGCGAGUUUUGUAGCCGCUACAGAGGCUGCUCGGUUUGGACCUCGGAAUCUCAACAAGUUGCACUUGUAUAUGUAUCAUACUGCUUCUGCCCAUGCGUCAGCGUCUUGCUGAUUUGUGUCGCGUGGACUGCCACACAAUGACGUAGACAGCUGUUUGCCGUGGUUUGGACUAAUCCUAAUAAUCAUAUAAUAUGGCUAGAGAACACCACGUCCAUGUCUCGUGAAACUUGAGAAUAUAUUCGUUCAUGGUUCUUGUAACUCUGCAAAUAGCUGUUGCCUGUUCCCUGUGGUACAAGUGUACAACUGGGUAGAAACAAUGCUUGUUCGUAUCGUCAUUGAGAUUCUAAUCUUGAUCAAAUCUCUAUACCUCAAAAACCUGUAAUUUCUCAUGAACUACUGUAAUCUUUUUCAUCCCUGCUUAUGCAUCCUUUGGCUUCUUGGUUCUCGUCAACCUAGAGUAAAGGAAAACACCUGCUAAUGCAGCACCAGUUCCUGUAGGAAGAACAACAAAAAUCAGACAGCAGUGAGUUGGUUAGAAGUGAUUCUGCUGCAGCGGCAGUAAUGAAUUCUUUUGGGGGGAAUCGAUCAAAGUUACCUAGUGCAUUGACAGGCGAAAUAGGGGUGCUGAAGAACAGAACGGAGGAGACGAUCACAACCACACGCUUUACGCAGUUGGCGACGGAGUGUGUCACCGGUGACACUCGCGACAAGAUCAAGUACGAGAGCUGCAAUUGCAAGGGAAGACCAUGCGUCAAGCACAAGUUUUCUUCUUGGAGGCGAGAAAGAGGUAAAGAUCCCAUGGGGACGAAGACCUUUGGUUAUCUCCUCACCUUCUGAUAGCCAUGGAAGCACAGACCUGCGAGUGCUGCUCUCACGCAGAGCUCUUGGAGGUUCAGGCCCUACAUGAUGCCAAAACAAGAUUAUGGUAAGUUCGUUGUUUGUAGAGCGAUGACACAGCUGAUUAUUGAAGUAUAUAUCUUGUCUUGUCUGAUUUUUGAAACGCUUACCGUGCUCUGGAGGUAUCCUGGGGUGAACUUGAUGCCUUCGGCGAAGAACAUCAGAGGGCAAGACAGCAGAAACGACAGUACAGUGAUCACCGAGAAGAGAUUUAUGUCAUCCAUAACAUCCUGCAUCAGAUUGGACAAUUUUUACUGUUAUUACAGUUCACCGACCGUCGGUAUUAUUAAUCUGAGAUGAAGGAAAACUCACCUUGUCACCGGCAAGGAGUUUCUUGCUGAGGACGUUCCUCGAUUGGUUGGUCAGAUUGGACGCCAUGGCGCUCCAAAACCCGGUCCUGAUUCCCAGACAAAAUUACAGAGUCAACUGUCAAGAUUCCUCCAAUCAUUUGAGUCCCAACAGCAAAAAGGCCAAGAAUCGCUUGGUACUACAGUACGAUCCAAAGAUUUUCCAAUAGUAGGCAAUAGGUAGCGGGCACAGCACUGACCAGUUGAAAGAAACUUCGGUGAAUGAAGCCAAGGCGACGCCGCCAACGAUCGGCACGAGCGAGCCCAGCACCGGCAGGGAAGGGACCUGCAUACCAAACAUCGAAUGAGAACUGAUCACAGAUUCCAGUUUUCUUCUUGUUUCUUGUUGAUUCCAUUCCAUUCACGGCGGAAUCGGCGAGAAUUCGUUUUGCCUUUUCAGGAAUCAGGAGGUGCGAGUAGGACGGUGGCGAACCUCGCCGAGGAAGAGGGCGGAGAGGACGACGGUGAAGAAAGGCUCGGAGGCCUUGAUGGUGUGCGUGAAGGAGACGGCGACCUUGCCCAGGCUCAUGUUGGUGAACACCGUGCCCAGCAUGUGCCCCACGGCCAGCGGCGCGAUCUUGCCCAGCUGCAGCCGCAAAAGUUGUACUACGAAUCAGCAAACCACCAAGGGAAGGGGGGAAACGAGAUUGCAGCCGUCGCGGCGAGAAUGGCCUCACCUGCGCAGCGGAGAGCCUGGGCACCGGGUGGAGCCUGGUGGCCCACAUGAGGAAGAUGAGCAGGGAGCCGAACGCGAGCUGGAAGGCGGUGAUGGUGUACGGCAACGGCAACGGCAGCGCGCCGAGCACCUGCAAUGGGGGGACGGAGACGGGCCCGGUUGGUAUUGAUCGAUCAAGCGGGAAGAAGAGGGGGAGGGGAUCUUGAGAUCACUCUCGAGAUCGAUGCUGCGGUGAACGGGACGGACAGACAGACCUGCUUGUUGUAGAUGUUGAAGUAGAUGUUGAGCAGGUACCACGCGACGAUCAUGGCGCCCAGCUGCGCGGUGGCCGCAAUGCCGCCGCGGUCUCCCGUCACCGCGGCGGCACUAGCAUCGUCCGCCGGCACCGAUGCCGCCGCCGCCGCAGCCACCGCCUUGGCGACCUCCCCAUUCUUGCCACCGCUAUCGGACAGCAGCGACAGAGGCCUGAGCCGGCCGUCGCCGCCGCGGACGCGGAGGAGCGGCAACCGCUGGGCCGCGGCGGUGGCGCCGCGGGGCCCGAAGAAGGAGGAGGACGAGGAGGCGACGCCGACGUGGCGCGAGGCGAGGCCGCGCGUGGCGGCCCGAGUCCAAGAGGAGGCUCCGGAGACAGAGGUCGUCCCGGCGGCCGCCGCGCCCCGCUGCAUCAUCAUCUUUGCCGCGGCCUUGUCGCGAAACGGUCGCCGCCCCCGCCCGCGCUUAAAAUACCACUCGUGGUCCCGUCCCGUCCCGUCGCGUGCGCUACGGAAAACGAAAAAAAAAAGGUGAUGCCCCGGGUGAAUCUUCCCGUGAUCCCGUACUCGUUCGUCCCUGUACGACGACUACGAGUAGUGAGCCACUAGUGAGACGACGCGAGACCGCAGUGGCAGGUUGGCAGGGGCAGCGGCAGAGUCGCAGAGCACAAUUGGGACUUGGAUGCGUGGCGGCUUUCUUCGUCCGGCCUUCGCAGUUGGACAGUUGGUCGUGUCGAUGUCGGCGGCGGCUGCUUGACCCUGUUGGAUCGGCCACAUGUUCCAUUUUGCUCCGAUCCAGAAAGUGGCGUCACCGGUGAGGUGAGCUCGGGAAUACACGCUUGAUGUUGAUGCGCGGAGAUAAACGGUCGAGAUCAGGCACAUUAUAGUGCGUGGACGCCAUUUUCAUGCCUGCUGGCCGUCUCAAUGAUGCAACGUACUGCCACAAGUUCUUCAGCCAGAAUUUAGUAGGACGACUUAUACAGCAUAUUUAUUGUGCAAAGAAUAAUAGAGCGCGCACCCUUUUUCUGGCCUCAGGUAGUCAGGUUUGCAGCUACCAGCAUCGUCAGUCGUCAAUAAAAAGAAGUCGCUACAUGGGAAUAAAUAAGGUCCGUUAGGGGACAUCAUUUUCAUCAUUCCUCUAAAGAUAAAGAAGAUAGAAGUGGGGGGGGGGGGGGGGGGGGGGGGGGUUCUGAAAGAGAGGACGCAUCUCCAUGAUGAUAAGAAGGCGACGCGGGGUAACAGACGUGCAUCGCGCGAGCUGCCGGAGACAUUCAUGGAUGCCCUCUCGUGUGAUCAGAGGUCGCCUCGUCGGUAAUGUUGUGAUCUGGAAUGAACCCGGCGGCGCUUUCGCUGCGAUAGUGGGUGGAUCUCUUGCUUUCCGCGAACGGGGCCGGCGAUAAAGAGGACGAAGCCCCGGUGAGCCAUGGGAUGGGAAUAUAAAGAAUGCCAAAGCGAGCGCGGCGCGGGUGGAAUCGACCGAGAACGCUGUCGUGGCCGGUGCCCGUGCAGUGGAGGAUGACGCGCGCCCCUCAGACGGCGACCGCCCCGCCGAAGGGGACGACGACGACGACGACGACGGGCCCGAAGGCAGGCCUCGGAGCCCAAAGCAACUGGUCUCACGCUUCGAGCAGCAUGGAGGCCCAUGACUCAGACUAGUGGCCGUGGUGGUAAAGGCCCACAUGCCAUUUCGGCCCGCCUAACUAACCGGGGCGCACGCUUUCGGCAGUUGGGAACAACGAACGGGGUGGGUGGGUUGGGGUCAUCGCCGGCCGGUGGAGUUGCUCCUGGACUGACUGGAUCUGCCGCCCGGUGGUAGCGCGCCGCCGAGGAUGGCGCGGGCGGAGAAGAGGCGCGCCGCGAGCACGGAGGCGGCGGAGAUGCCAGCCAGGUCGGCGGAUCACCGGAGGGCGCUCUACUUCGCCGCGUUCCUGGUGCUCGCCGACGCUGCGCUCGUCGCCCUCAUCAUCGCCUUCGUCCCGUGUCUGUAGCUCCGAGCGCGUAGCCUCAUUAUUGCUCAGCUCUCCUCCUUGUGUCCGCGUUACCGCAGCUAAGCGGGUCUGUUGCUUCUACUUGCAGAUACCAAGAUCGACUGGGACGCCUACAUGUCUCAGGUACUAGCGCAGAUCGCCGAUUUUUGUUUUGUUUCACCUCUGUUUUGGUUCAAGAGCUUCGAAUUUGGGAUGGUGGUGUGAUCUUGGUGGCUGCUUCUGGGGUGUGUGUGUGUGUGUGUGUGUGUGUUUGCUGCUGCGCUAGGUGGACGUUUUUCUGGAGGGGGAGAGGGACUACACCAAGAUCGAGGGAGACACAGGGCCAUUGGUCUACCCGGCCGGCUUCCUCUACAUCUACUCCGCCAUUAAGUUCCUUACCGGAGGCCAUGUCUUCCCUGCUCAGGUAACCGCACAACCAAAUAUGCUUACCAGCAACAACUCGUUUGUUCUGACACUCUCAUUAUGGUCAGAAGAUGCCUGGCUGUGCUUAAGACUGAUGAGUUCUUGGGGUACUUGUCUGCAGAUUUUGUUCGGCGUAUUAUACAUUGUCAACUUGAGCCUCGUUCUUCUGCUUUACGUCAAGACCGAAGUGGUAUAGUUGUGCAAUUGAUCACUCUUUUCUAACCUCUGGUUCUGCUUUAGUUCAGGGAUUCACAUCUAAAACUGUCUUUUCCUUAACCUUUGUUUAGCUCAGCAAAGAUAAUUUUGACAAACUGAUUGAUAUAAUGUCAUGACGACUCAUCUAGAAACAAUCAGUGUUUAGUUUAUCUAUGGUAAUAUCUGUAGUGUUGGCUAUUCUUGUCUAAAACAAUCUUUUCUUCACUUCUGCAACACCGCAAGGAUAAUUCAGUAACUGGUAGUCUGGUAGGCUGUUAUGAUGACCCAAAGUUUCUUCAAUUAAGCCUGUAAAACAUCUGUGUGGCCAAGUUUCCAUGACAUUGUCUGUUGUUUCUGAUUCCUCCCUAUCUCUCAAUAACGAUGACAGCUUCCAUGGUGGGCUUUAGGUUUGCUUUGUUUGUCCAAGAGGGUUCACUCCAUAUUUGUUCUCCGCCUUUUCAAUGAUUGCUUCGCCAUGACAUUGCUUCACGCUGCUAUGGUACUGAUCAUAUAUCACAAGUGGUACCUUGGUCUAAUAGUUUUCAGGUGAGCAUGACAGUAUGGCAGUAUAUUGCAUUUAUCUUCUGCUUUGUUUUAAUAUGACCUUUGCUUUGUUUUAAACUGAAAGAGAUACGUAGAAAGUAGCUGCUCAUAUUCAUUUACCAUUUCUUUUUUCAGUGGAGCUGUCUCAGUUAAGAUGAAUGUCCUUCUUUUCGCUCCUUCUUUGCUUCUACUGAUGGUCAAGGUACACAUUUCAACAGCACCAUGCUUAUAUCUUUUUAUCCUUCGAACUGUUACCCUUACUAAGUUGUUUGUACAGGCCAUGAGCAUCAAAGGAGUCUUCUUUGCCUUGUUGGGAGCUGCUGUUGUACAGGUACAUUGUUUCUUUUUAUUAAUUAAAAACACUCAUCCUAUUCCACUAUUUUCAAUGUGUUAAAAUGGUCUUCUUGUACCACAUAUUAUAUCGGUUUGACUAUGCUUGGCAGUUUCUUCUAUUUCAAACUGAAUGCUGCAAGGUCUUUUGUAAUCCCUUUAUCCUUAAACUCCAUAGUGAUAUCUUCCAAGUUCCAAUAGCAUGCCACAGAGCUUAAAUUCACAACUUGUUGUAUCUUCUGUUAUUUUUUCUCUUUAACAUGCAGCAAAACUCUGCAGCGUUGUAUUGAAGAAAUUGUACCUUGUUUUAUGAUAUAAAUUUUCUGUUAAAUGCACAUAUCAUGGCCUGAGGUAAACGUGAGCUUGUCUAGUUUGUCUGGGGUUAGAUGUAGAUGGAUACAAGGUAUCACACAGUUUAUACUAAUGAUUUACAUUUCCCAUCUGUAGGUUUUGUUGGGUAUGCCAUUCUUGCUCUCACAUCCAGUUGAGUACAUCUCAAGAGCAUUCAAUCUUGGCCGUGUGUUUAUCCAUUUCUGGUGUGUAUUUCAUGAAUUUUGAACCACUUCAGCAGCAACAUCAUGACAUAUGUAUCACACCCUAGACGUGACUGUAAUUAUGCACAGUGUUAAUUGUUUUAUAUUUUUCAGGUCUGUGAACUUUAAAUUCGUCCCAGAGAAGGUGUUUAUAUCGAAAGAGCUUGCUAUUGCGUUGUUGAUUCUUCACCUCACCACCCUUCUGAUAUUUGCACACUACAAGUGGUUAAAGUGAGUACUCACCAAUCAUGUUAGGUGUAAUGAGUUAGAGGGUGUUUGGUUGGGGUGUUAAAGUUUAACAGGUACUGUAACAUUUUCGUUUUAUUUGGCAAUUAGUGUCCAAUCAUAGACUAACUAGGCUUAAAAAAAUCGUCUCGCAAAUUAUUCUCUAGUUGUGUUUUUAGUUUUGUAAAUAGUCUAUAUUUAAUAGUUCAUGCAUGUGUUCAAACAUUCGAUGUGAUAGGCGGUAAAGUUUACCGCCUCCAACCAAAUAGGGCCAAGCAAUGAUGUACAGUCAUUUCAAUAGUCCAAUCUUCACUCAAUGCUUUUCUUUCUCUAGUAUAUCCUAUUCCUAUUCUUUCUAAGAAUAUUUUCAUCAUUGCAUGUUUAUAAAUUAAAACUGUAUCCGUAUGUCUGAGGAGAUGCUAGGGUAUUUUAUAAUGGUUAUGCUAGCGCAUAAUAUUCUUCUACAUUCACUGACAGGCAUGAAGGAGGUCUAUUCGGUUUCUUGCAUUCCAGAUUUAAAGAUGCCAAAUCAAUCAAACAGCUUGUUUCCAGCCGGCCCAGAUCAUCCAUUCUCAGCAUAGAACGUGUGUUAAACCACAAUUCUCAAACUAAUCAUAUCAUUCCGAUCUAUGCUUUGCUGCUGAACUAACUAGAUAUGUACAACUUGAAUCCAGAUAUUGUAACUGUUAUGUUUAUUGGCAACUUCAUUGGCAUUGUGUAUGCCCGAUCAUUACACUACCAAUUCUAUUCCUGGUAAGCACAGGCUCUCCUCAGCAUCAUUAAUGUUAUGAUUAGUCCUCAAUAGAUUUGGCUUGUUGUUUGUGAUUGUUGUUUGUGAAUGCUAUAAUCCAAGUUUGCUCGUUCUUCUGUGCAGGUACUUCUAUUCCUUGCCUUUUCUAUUGUGGAAAACACGUUUUCAGACACCUUUGAGGUAACAUACUGUCCCUUAAUGUAUUUAUGUUACACACUUGCAGCUUGUGAACUAACCAAACAUGAUUUAUGUUGAUAGAAGUGUCUACUUCCUUUUUUAUUAACAUUAAGUGCAUUCUUCUUCCCCUUUUUCUGAAACUAAGAUGAUGUCUCUAAACAGCGCACUGGUUCAAGUAUUCAUUUAUUUGGUUUGCAAUCUUAUUGCACUUCCCCUCAAUUUCAGGAUCAUUCUAUUUCUCGCUGUGGAGUUCUGCUGGAACAUUUACCCUUCUAGUGCCUAUUCAUCACUCCUUUUGCUAUUUUCGCACUUGUGCAUUUUGUUUGGUAUAUGGUUUGCACCUGCUGAGUACCCCUAUGUCAUCAAUAAAGAGACAUAACAGACAUGUCAAGAAGUUGCAAAGCUAGACUUCCCUGCAAAAAUAGUAUUAUAAUCUUUGAAGGCAGCAGUCAGGAUACAAGCAAUGCCAAAGGCUUCUGGAAAUUGCAAUGUAUUUUGGUAUGCCAAUACUCUUAGGAUUAUUUGACCCAAAUUUCUAGAGUAGCAUCUAGACAUACCAAAAUGUCCAUGUGUAACUUCUUAACAUAGAUGAUAGCUACUCUAACUAUAAGAGUAACUAUGGUUGGGGACUUUCCCAGGAUCUUGUUCUAUCAUCUUGCUGGUCUCCUUUAGCCAUCAAUGUUACAUUGAUAUCUUAAAAAAAGAUUCUAGACAUGUAAAGCAAUAUAUGUUAUUAUCAAGAAAGCGGUUGUGGCCGUGCAUAUAGCUCGAAUGGCUUGGCACACAAGGACUCAGACCCAAGGACUCAGAGGUUAUACUGGUUCAAACAACAUGCUCUACGUACAGUGAGUGGUGUCCGAUUGUAUUUCUGAGCUCAAGGGCCAAAAUUUGCAAUAAGGGUUACAAAGUGACGGUAUGAGAGUGUUUGUGGAUCACGAGAGGAGUCUAGAGAGCCUAGAACUGUCAGAGAGAGCGAAAAGAGAUCCAUGCCUCACCUAGCCACGCAAAAGGUUAAGGAUGGAACGGUUGCUCUACGUCAACUAGCCACGCUGGAGUCCCGAUCAUCUUUAGGCCUUGUUUAGUAUCUAAAAUUUUUCGAGAUUCUCCAUCACAUUAAAUCUUGCGGUACAUGCAUAGAGUAUUAAAUAUAGAUAAAAAAAAGAUGACUAAUUGUACAUUUUACAUAUAAUUUACAAGACGAAUAUUUUGAGCCUAGUUAAUCCAUAAUUGGAUAAUAAUUAUCAAAUAAAAAUAAAAGUGCAGCAGUAGCUAAAUCCAAAAUUUUUGCUGAACUAAACAAGGCCUUAUCCACUCUGACCACAUACUGUUGUGUCUCGUCCUAUUUGUAUAGGAACGGAAGUUUUAGGCCUUGUUUACUUCCGAAAAGAUUUUCGGAUUUCGGUACUAUAAUAUUUUCGUUUUUAUUUAACUAAUAUUAUCCAAUCAUGAACUAACUAGGUUCAAAAGAUUCAUCUCAUGAUUUACAGGCAAACUAUGCAAUUAGUUUUUGUUUUCGUCUAUAUCUAAUGGUUCACGCAUGUGCUCCAAGAUUCGAUGUGACGAAGAAUUUUGAAAAGUUUUCGAAAUUUGAGGAAUUUUGAAAAGUUUUUGAAUUUUGAAAAGAUUCGAUAUGACCAACUUACUAAUUUCAUUUUUGUAGAUGUACCUAACACUAAAAGAUUGUUCCAUAAUACAAAUUGUGCGGAUAUAAACAUAAAGAGAAAGGUACAACCGCUCUACAACUUCAAAGCUGGUUUCAUAUUUACAUACAUGCAAAAGAUUACAAAGGAUUUUUCAUACUCCUAAGUCCUAAUUCAAAAUAUUGCUUGUCUAUUUGUGAUGUUUGUGAAGUAUGAUUUUUCAUACAACCUAACUUGGUGAUGUUUGUGAAUUUUUUAUAUAACGUGGACAUAGGCAAUUCUUGGUGGUGAGCUGAACCAUGAGAUAAAUCACAUGUCUUCUCUCUUGUGUUAGGAAUUGUGUUAUUUGUGUUCCAUUCAAUCUACUUGGUUGUGCGUGUUUGUAGAUGCAAGUUUGAGUUUGAUUUCUAGGCGGGUAGCUUUUGUUGAGCUCUCUAUGUAGUGCAGCAAUGCUGCAGCAUUGCACGGAAGUGCGUGACAUAGCAGUUCAACGACCAAGUCUGGUGGUGCCGUGCUUGUUACUAACCGCUUUAUUGCACUUAAAUCAUACAUAUUCACCCCUUCUCUAAGCAACAUCAAGAUACUUUCAGCACAUUGGUCCACUUAACAAGCUUAAGGACCUGGAAAUACGUUUUCAAUCAUUGACCUUAGUGGCACCCUUUGACAAAUUCAGGGACCACUCAUGCAUUUAACUUAUUAUUAAGUCUAUAUGAAAUAUGUCUUGACAAUGUGUUAUUUGAACUCAUAGAUGUUAAUAUAUAUUUAAAAAUGGUUAAAGUUAAAGAAGUUUAACAACAAAACCAAAGUAAACUAUAAUUUAGAAUGGAGGAGAUAUAAAUUUAACUUCUAUGUUUAAUUUGAGGAAUGAGUAGUAUAUGGAUCCUAGUAUUUCAUUGUAAGAGUAUAAUUUAAACAGUGAGUCAGGUAGACAUCUGUCUUAUCCAUCUAGCAUUCAAAAUUAUCAUCAUUUUGCCUAACUGCCUCUAUGGGUGUUUGGAUCCAAGAGAAUUUAUUAUACCAAUUAGAAUGUCCAAAUAAGAUGGUAAUAAGAGCUAAUGUGGGCUAAUUUGUGGUUAGAGUCCAUUAGCCCUUAUCAGACCACAAUUAACAAGAUGGGCUAAUUUUUAGCCUGGUAUCCAAAUAGGCCCUUAAUUUGUUAAAUGAUAACUUCUACAAGUUUUGAUCAAUAAUUAGUUAAAUUAUAUACUACCUCCUGUCAUUUUUAUUUGACGUUCCAGACAACGUUCUUCACUUCAUUGGUAGUUUUCAUUCUGAAAUACAGAGGUUAAUGGACGGAGGGAGUAUAAUUAGGUAACAUCUGCAUUUCAUUCCAUUCAUAUGGACAAUGGUUACUGAUUGUUUGCUUCAUUGCUCGUCUUCAGUGACGCACGUGCCAGAAUCCUAGAACGUUCAGGUGUAGUAGUACGUACUUACUUGUGGCAACGUGAGAGAAAAAAAAAUCAUUUUGAUUCCUUGCGGUUGCAAAGGCAAAUCGACACAAGCAAAUGAUUGUGUUGUGUCCUCUACCCAUCCAAUGGUCCACCCAUUCCAUUCCAAGCAAGCGGUCGAUCGGAAAUACUUGGGCUCCAUGCCUCCAAGCAAGCGUCUCCAGAUCACCUGCCCCGCGUGGUUGGUUGGUUCUCAUCGUCGCGGUUUUGUUUCUUUCUUGGUUGGUUCGUCCACUUCUCGCCCUUCACCGCCUGUGGCUGUGGCUGCUGCUGCUGCUGCUCUGUAUGAGAGACUGUAUGUGUGUGUGACAGUGACAGGUGGGAGAGGAGGCGCCAGACGCGAGAGGCUUCCCGAGGUCUCCGCCGGGCGCCGGCACAAGUCCACCCACCGGCACUUUGACUGGGAGUUGGAGAUUCUUGCGUGGAACUGGCAGGGAUCUGCUGCCCAUCCAUAUAUUGUAAUUCACUAAUAUACGCUCUAGAUUUUGGCUAUCAUUUUCUGAUCCCGCGUCCUUUUUUUUUAUGCGGAUACACUGAUGCGCACAUGUCUGAUGUCUCCUCCCUCGAUCUCAAUCUAGAGGCUGCAACAGUUCAGUAGGCGGAGGAAGGCGCAUCACACGAACAAGGUGGAAGGAACCGGACGGAGCUUGGACAAGGACAAGGCGACCGGGCAAGGGGAGUGGUGGACUGGUGGUUAUCGGUUUCUCCGUUAACCACUCUGUCCGAUCCGCCGGUGUGUCCGAAGUCCGACCGAUCCUCCCGUGCGCGACCCUGUCGACGAAUCAAUCGCUGGUAUACUCAUCUUAGUUCCCCCACUUCAUCUUCUUUUCUCAGACCAUAGGUUUCAUGAUGCCCCCGCUUCGUUGUUCGUUUGUUUCGUGUGUGCGCGUCAAUGGAAGAAGUGGAAAGGUUGCAUCUUCACCUUUUGCGUGGGGUACCCAGGUCGGCCAGGUUAUGAAUCUCUGAAUAGUGUGUUGGUGGCCCUCGCUUUCUUCGGCCUGUUCUUUUGCCUGUGCUUUUAUCUACUCCUAUUUGCGGUAUUUGGCAAUUAAGAUUAGGAUACAUGUAUGCGUUGAUCUCUCUCUUUGCCGGCAAGGCAAGGAGAAAAGUGAUUCUUUUUAUUCUUAUAAGUGGACUGGCGCAAGUAUAGUAUCAGAUUUAAUGAGAACGACGAGGACAGCAAACUUAUAUAAUGUCUUGCUGAUAUAUGAUGGCAGGGACGAUUAGUUAAGCAUUCCAAUCCUCAGCCAUGGCCGUGGACACUACCCAACCGGAGUACUGGCUCAACUGGAGGUUCUUGCUGUGUGCGCUCUGGGUCUACUCCUGCAUGGCCUUGGCGUUCUUCUUGAUUUGGAAGUAUGAGGGGGCCCGUUCACUGGACAGCAGUGGUGAUAAUGGCGAGGACAGAGAAGAGGCAUUGCCACAGGUCGGGCCUGGUGUUGUUUAUCUUGAAGAUUGCUGGAAGACGUGCAUUGAGGGGAUCCAUCCUGGCUGGCUGUUGGCGUUUCGCCUUGUGGCCUUCUUCGUUUUGGCUUCAUUGCUUGUGGUCGACAUCGUUACUGAUGGAUGGAGUAUCUUCCUAUACUACACACAGUAAGCCCAUCUUCAUCCUGAUUGGUCAUAAUUCCCAGAAGUAGUUCCACUGCCCACAAUCAAAAGAACUUAUGCUGAAAUGAUGUUGUACGUUUGGCAGGUGGACGUUCUUGCUUGUCACCUUGUAUUUUGGGGUAUGUAGUUUGCUAAUGGAACAUUGGUUUGUUUUUUUGUUUUGGUUAUUUGUCACUUUAAUUUUAUAUCAACCUUGAAUCUCAAUAACUGACACUGACAUCAUAUCUCACUGCACUCGUGCAACACUGGUACAAAGGCUUACAUGAUCUGAAGAAGACUGUAGCAUUUAUGUAUUCUUGCUGAUGAUUUUUCACCAGUACUAACUAGUGAAUGUCUCAAUACCUUCUUCAUCUGCAGCUUGGAUCAUUGCUUUCGAUUUAUGGAUGCUAUCAGUAUGUUUACAGUACCGGUGGAGAUACAUAUGAUCUGGUAAGAUCUGGUGCAGAUCAUGGCACAUAUAUGACAGCUCCAACAGCAGAAAGUGCAUAUGACCCUACAAUCAAAAUUUCUUAUUACACUAAAGCAAACAAUGGUCGAGCAGGAUUUUGGGGUUAUAUGUUCCAGAUCUUGUUUCAGGUAACUCAUCAAUCAUCAUAAGCAUGUCGUAGCUUCACAUUUCCACAAAAAGUUGACCUGUUUUAUAUUAAUAAAAGUAAUACAGAGAAACAGUAAAGAUGACUGACACUAGUACUCCACUCAAAUUAUGUGUUUCUUUUCCAGACAAAUGCAGGUGCUGUGAUGAUUACAGAUUUGGUGUUCUGGUUUAUUUUGUACCCUUUCCUUGCCCACAAUCAGUAUGAGAUGAAUUUUGUGAGUAUUCCCUUUCUGCAAUUUUAGGAACUGUAAUAAUCUACAAUCUGACUUGUUCAGUGAACAAUAUUAACUAAAAGUGUUCCAUAUACAUUACUUUUUUCCUUUAAAAAUUUACCUUAAAGAUCAUAAUUCACUAUAUAUACCUAGGGAUUUUGGAAGUCUGAUAUGAUAGUAUAUAACUUAAUGGUCUGUGACCUUUUAUCAGUUACUUUGUAUUCAGUCACCUUAUAGACUCCUUUUUUUGGAACUUAUGGCUGGAGCUCUUGCUAUAUGAAUAAAGAGAUAAAAUAUGCCUUCUGCUAUUACUUCUGUAUCAUUUCUACAUGGUUAAGGGGAUGCAGAAGUGGCAGUACACAAGUGCUUAGCACUGCUUUUGGUAGGCACAUCAGUUGUGGCCUAUUUCUUUUAAAGAAUGACUAGCAGACAUGCCCGUGUGUUGCAACGUUAGGUACAGCUUGGGUCAUCUAUUCCAAUGUGUCUUAGAAUUGGACGUGUGCUAUUCUAACUCCUAUAAGCAUGGGUUGUGAGUUCAGGUCAUGGGUUGGACGCCAAUUAGGAUUCUUAUCUCUUCAUCACAUACUACUACUCUUAGUAAAACUGGCUAAGAUGUCUCUUAUGCUCGAGGGAGGGAGUGGAGGGACAGACAGACUUGGAAGAGUGAAGGGCUAAAAUUUGUGGGCGAGAAGUUUUCACUCUUUAAUAUUAGGUAUAGAAAUGUUACAUGAUUACGUGCUAUUCAUAAUAAUAUAUAGUCAUACUACAAAAGAGAAAUUUAUUUGUUGAGGUUUGUUAUUUGUAUUCUUUUUUUCUGUAUUUAGUUCUUAAAGUUCUUAAUAUGUGCACAACAGAUUCUGAUUGGGACACAUUCAAUCAAUGUUGUCUUCAUAGUUGGUGAUGCUGCUCUAAACAAACUGGUAAAUGUCUCAUGCUAUAACAUUGAUCUAUAUCAUGAUCAACUGAUCUCUGUAUUGAUAUUUUAAUCUAUAAAUGCAGCAUUUCCCGUGGUUUAGGAUAGCAUACUUUCUGCUGUGGACAGGCAUUUUUGUUAAUGUUCAGUGGAUCAUCCAUGCUAACGUGUCAACCUGGUAGUGCUACCUGCUUAGCUCUUUUUUUUUCUUCCUAAUGAGGUGAAAUUGGGAUGUGUAACAUGUUUUGCUUUGUUCAGGUGGCCUUACCCAUUUUUAGACUUGGCAUUCCCUGGUGCACCUGUAUGGUAAGCUCAACUCAAUGAAAGAAAUGACUAUUUUUCUAAAUAUAUGGUUUCAUGAGUAGCUAAUGCAUCAGUGAGACAAAAAAAGUAGAAACUAGACAUUACAUGACAGUAGAACCACAAGCUAGUGAUAGCUAUGAAAAUCUUAUUACCACAUGAACAGAUGUGAUGACAUACAAAGGACAUAACAAUUUGGUACCUAAAUACUUUUGGUUGUCACACUCAUUUUACACUGAAGCCAUCAAGAAAUUUGCUAUCAUGCUCUUUCUGUCAUAAUCAUAAGUAUGCCAGUAUUGCUGUAAACUGCGAUUUCAUCAUCUUGAAAGAAAAAACUGUAACUCCUGGCAGGUACCUGGUGGUGGCAGUGCUGCACUUCCCAUGCUACGCUCUAUUCACCCUGGUGCUGAGGCUCAAGCAUAUGUUGUUGGAAAGUUGGUUCCCUCAAACUUAUGUGAAGUAAUCAAGGAGGACAGUAUUCGUUAUCAAAAAGAAAGAAAAAAGGAGGACAGUAGUCGUAGUUGGUUGUCCUUAUACGUUACCUUCAGCAAGAUUAAGCGGAGAUUCUGCAAACUGUCUGCACACCCGAAAUCACAUUGUUCAGAAAUAGAUCACACCGGCCUGUCGACAGAUUUCUCUGAAAGUGGGCAUGUAAAUUGACAGAGCAUGUUCCAAAAAUUUUGAGAUCAGCAGCUUAUUUCAACCAGCUGCUGUCACCAGGCAUUGCAACCAUAUGUUUAUCCCCAAUGGAGAUAUGUGUACAGUCCACUAAAUAUAUCCAAUUAUUUCCAACAAUUUUCAUGUUCCCUGGGUGACUUACCUAGCCCGUUAAGUUUCUUAGUGGCAUCAUCUAUGCUGUGCGUGUUAUAUCCUUGCCUUUUGGCGGGACGAGAUCAGAUAGCAUCAGCACCAUGGUGUGGUGUGGGCUUGGUGUUAUUUCCAUUAUGUUUCCAAAACGAGUCCAUUCUGGACGAGUUCUUAGUGAUCAAGGGCAUCUCUCCACUCAAUACUUCCAGUCUCCAGAUUUGUUCGUUCUCUUCAGGCUCAGGGCAUGAUGAACCUAAACUAAGCUCCGUUUGGUUCCCCUUGCUAAAUUUUAACUACUCUUGGGUGACUAAUGGAACUAAACUAUCUUGCAAAUGCUCGUGUCUUCACGUGGGAGUUCUGGUGGUGGUUUUUCAGGUUCAGCCACCUUGGGGCCCGUUCGUUUAGCCUGAUUUCUAGCCGGAACUAUUCCUAAUGAUCUUUGCUAUGUAAAAUACAACACCGAUCCAGGCCGGAUUGGUUCCCGUAUUGGAUUCCGUUCGAACCGAACGUACCCUUGGUUGGUUCGCACGACAGCAGACAUCAACAGCUCGGCAGCUCCUCUCCGAAGUGUUUGUGCUGGAAAAAAGAAAAACGAGAGGGAAUUGCAAAUAGCAGCACACAAUGGGCUGUAUGAUCUUGGGCCUUUAGAGUCUGAGUGUGUUUCGGCUGGACGGACUGGGACCCACGCCACCGGCAACCCCGCGGUUACAGCCUCAGAUGGGCCGUCGUGGUCCAGGCAUGAUGUGCCAAAGCCAGAACGUGUCGGUGGGACCGGUGGGGCCCCUGCUCACCUCGCAUCUUUUUGUAGUAGUACGGUACUGCACGUCUGUACUGUACUACUACUGCAGAAGCGCAUAGUGGCACGCCGGAGAGUCACGUGCGCACAGCACAGGCGCGGCAGCGGCAGCACCGGCCGGCACUGGCAGGCGAGGCGACCGCGACCGCGACCGCCUCCGUGCAUCCGUCCGGCCGAUCCCGGCGUCGCAUGCGCACGCCGACGCCGCGCUUCCCGGCCACGGUCUCCCAAGCCGGCGAACAGCAAAUCGCACUCGCACGACCACGAUCGCUCACUCGUACGCACGCCAGCGCCGCUGGCGCCUUGCGCCUUGGGGCUGUUCGCUUGUCGUUGCUCCCGUCCUGAGGCGCCCGCGCGGCUGCUCCCUCUUGGCCUCGGUUGGGAGCUGUUGGACUAGUAUCAUCACGCGGCCGUCCGGUCGUUCGUGCCGGCCGGCCGGGAUCCGCCGCGCCCGAGGAGGAUCACUGUUGUUGAGUAGUACGGCGCUCACAUUCCCGCCGCAUCGGCAACCGCGCCGCCGGCACUGGGGCGGCGUAGAAUAAUCAGAUCGCCGGCACUGGAGGCCAGCGUCAGCGUGCCGGCCGGCCAUCUCCCGGCCACGCGACAAAGAUGCUUUGCUCGCUGGCUCGUCGGAGUUUGGGUCCGUUUUGGCUUUGGCAUGUGCCGUGCCGACGCCGGGUAGACGCAGACGGGAACGGCCUCGCCGGAUUCGGAAUUGGUGGGUUCUGGGUGCCGUCCUCGCAGAUCCAAGAACUGCCGGUUUGCUAGUUUUAUUCGGGCCUAGUUCCAAAAUUUUUUGCAAAAUAGGAAUAGUAUCACUUUCGUUUGUAUUUGACAAAUAUUAUCCAAACAUGUACUAACUAGACUCAAAAGAUUCGUCUCGUCAAUUUCGGCCAAACUGUGCAAUUAGUUUUUAUUUUUGUCUAUAUUUAAUACUUUAUACAUGGGUCUAAAGAUUUGAUGUGACGGAAAAUGUGAAAAAUUUUGUAAAAUUUUUUGGGAAGUAAACAAGGCCUCGGUCACAACGCACAAUUAUUGUUGUAGCCACAGGAGUACAGGACUACUGGCUACUGCAACCCCACACGAUAUAUCUCAUAUGUUGAAUGGUCGGCUGAGAGAUUUUAAUGAGUCACGUUUAGUAUAGCUUUACUUCACUAAUAGAGUAAUUUUUUUCUUCGUUUUCAUUGUUGGAGUUGAAACUGUUUUAGAAAAAUAUUUGGUAAGUAAACUUUUUAUAGUAGAGAAGAGGAAGCUGGGAGGAACUAGUAUUUUCAGUUUCAUCUAGCUUUGAGAACAGAUUUUAAGGAGCUCCACUUGAAGAAUUAGUCCAUUUUAUUAAUCCAUUAGGCAAAAAAUACAUCUAAAUAGCUCUUGAAAUUGUUAGAAAAUAUGUGCCAAAUGACGCAUAAGAAUAUACAAGUUGUUAUUAAUUUUGCUAGGAGCAACGGCGACUCGUUGGUCCAUAUGGCUCGAUUUGGAAAAAAAAAAUGUUACUCCUAUGCAAGUUAUUUUCUUGGUUACUCUCUGGUCAUGUUCUUAUGAUUGAUUCAGUUUCUACUGCAAAAAAAAGAGUGAAACUAUAACCAAACAGGUGUAACUUGACACCAUAGACUUUACUUUUAGCUUUCAACUUUUCAAAAUGGUGCAAAUAGAGAUAUUUCGGAGCUGUUUUAAGGGAGAUAUAGAUAGAAGCUAGGUUUAUAGUUGUUUUAAUUAAACAACUUAUAACUUUUGCAUAGGACAUACUCUCUCUCUCUCUCUAACUAUUUUUAUUUGUCCUAAGUCAACUUACCUCAUGUUUGACUAAAAUGGUAGGAAAAUAUAUUAAUUUCUACUACGUCAAAAAGGUAGUUGUAAAAAUAUAUUCCAUAAUGUUUAUAACGGAGCUCACAUAAUGUUAAAAUAUUAUUGUUCUUUCUAUAAAUUUUAGUCAAAUUUAAGAUAGGUUAACUUAGGGUAAAUGAAAAUAUACUACGUCCUUGCUGAUUCACACGGGAUUCCACGUGCCUCAUGCUACUCGGGUCAGAGCGUAAGCUAGUGAUGCUUUCGGCUACUGGACUUUAGCCAUCUAGGGUGCGGCACUCAACCGCUUCGCCUAGCAGCACAACGCUUGUAUUGCUCUCCCACAACCCCGUUUUCACGGUUUAGGCUGCUCCCAUUUCGCUCGCCGCUACUACGGGAAUCGCUUUUGCUUUCUUUUCCUCUGGCUACUAAGAUGUUUCAGUUCGCCAGGUUGUCUCUUGCCUGCUCAUGGAUUCAGCAGGCAGUUCAAAAGGUUGACCUAUUUGGGAAUCUCCGGAUCGA